rnacentral:lncRNA from 1 species
UUUUUUUUUUUUUUUGGUCAAAAAGAUAAUCAACCAUUCAACUAGGUGGAAUUGGCAGCAACGUGGACCCCAACUAUGAUAAUCAAUUAUUCAACUAGGUGGAAUUGGAGCUAGGCACGUAUUGGGUUAAAUUGGCUUCACCCAAAAUCCAAAUUUAUCUUGAACUAAUUACAAAUGAAAAUUGAUAAAAUUAGUUGACUCUGUCAUCAACAUUCAUAAAAGCCUAUGUUUUAGUCGCGUUGAUUCACAAUAACGGUAGUGAUUAGGGGGAUUUAAGACACUUUGAUGAUUCUAUUGUCCAAAGCAAGAGCGGUCUGGCCGGAGGGCUAAUUACUUAGAAUAUUGUAAAAAAAAAAAAAAAAUCGGAGCUGAUAGGAGCCUGAUAUCAAAUUAUUGGUGCCGGACUGCUGACACAAUUUAUUUAUUUUUUUUAAAAAGAUCAGUGUCAGCCCGACGGCCAGUCAAAAGUUUUUCUUUUCUGCCAGUCUGGCAGCCAGUAAAUUACUACUCAAGACAAAGUAGAAAAAUGAUAGGAAUCUAUAGUUGGCAGCUUGAAACGAGGAGGGAGAGGGUAAUCCUCUAUUUCGGGUGUGAAGGGGGGAAGCAGGUUUCUAAUCAAGCAGAAAUGGUAAAGGAGGAAACAGCAAAUCCUUCUCAGGAAGGAAGUAAGAAUAGAAUCCUACCGGUUCCUUUACUAGUUAUAUUUCAAAUGAGAAAAGUCUUUACUUUACUUGAAGCUUAGUAAGGGAGUCAAUAGACUAAUUGACUCAUUCUGUAACAUAGGAAAAGAAAGGGGAUGGUCUCAGAAUCUUACCUAAAAAAGAUCAAAGGUGCUCUGAAAAUAAUUGUUUUGAUACAAUAUUCCCUUACAAUUUAGUAAAUAUUCCCUUACAGUAGGUUAUAUUUACAAUAUUCCCUUAUUUAAUACAAUAUUCUCUUACAAUUAAAGUAGUAAAUAUAACCUACUUUAUUUAAUACAGUCAACUUUUCCACCAACAAUUGUUUUGAUAUAUGUCUUGAAUGGUAUUAUAAGUAAUGUAAAGGUAUAGUGAUUAGUGACACUUCAAAUAUUAAUGUAAGGGUAUUUUAGAAAAACAUUAGACUAUAUUUACUUUUUCAUCAAAAUUAACUAAUUUUUUAAAAUUAGUCUAGAAAAAAACCAAGACUAUCAAAGUAGGACAGAUGGAGUAUUACUCAGCAAACUUCUUAUAUUAGUUCAAGAAAUUCAAAAUAAAUAUUCAAAAAUAAUUGGUAUAACUUUACAUAGCUGCGAAAAAAAAUUAAAACUAUCAAAAUGGGACGGAAGAAGAUUUGUCAACAAACUUCUUUUAUUAGUUCAGAAAAUUUCAAAAUAAAUAUUCGAAAAUAAUUGGUAUAAUUUUACAUGGCUUUGUGAAAGGUAUGGCCGACUUUUAAAAAAAUGAAAGAAAGAAAGAAAAAAAACCAUCCUGUACCACAGCUUGGUUAUAACGAAGAGAAAACUUUAUUCAUUCACAAACUUUGAGAAUGUCCUUUAUUCAUUCAAUGAAUUUUUUUUUUUCUUUAACUUUUUGCAGCUGUCAACGCAGCCAGUCAAAGAAAAACUUUUGACUGGCCUUUUAAAAAAAAAAAAAUUGUGUCAAGGCCGUGAGUGUCUGAAUUUUUUUUUUGACAAUAUUUUAAGUAAUUAGCCACGCAUCAGCCCCCUCUAUUAUGCAUUUAUAUUGCCUCAAUAAAGCAAAAAAGAAAAAACCACUUGCAGACACAUUCAAGUGGUACAUUCAAGUGGUGGGCUCAGUGGUACAACAGAAAACAAAGAAACAUCAAAAUAAAUGAUCCAAGAGACAUCAAAAUAUAAAUGAUCAAAAUAUAAUGAACCUUCAAGCUAGCUCUCUAAUUUUCUUCAAUUGUUUUCUUUCUUGAGCAAAUCACUAAAUUUGAUCACUUUCUCUUCUAAUUCUCUCGUAUCAAUAAUCAUGACCAACAAAGUAAAAAGUAUAUGAAAAAAAAAUUGAGGGCUUCUUCAACCCUUGAUAUUGUGGAAGCAGAGAAUUUGAGAUUUCUGCAAUUAUUAGUGUCAAUUAUAUCAUAAAAUAGAUGCAUUACAAUAAUAAAUGUAAACUCUAAGAUAAUAAAUAUAAACAGUAAAAUGAUAACUUGCAAAAUUAAUGUUACCAAUAUACAACGGCCAAAGAAAAUGAUCGGAUUAAAGAAGUGAAAAUUGCUACUAAUUUGUAGUAGUACUUCUUUUCAAGAGUUCGGACUUAAAUGCAUGCUAAUUAUUUGUACAAAAUUAUCUACUUAUUUCAUAAACACAUUUUUUAAUUAUUUUUUUUAUUAUAUAUAUAUAUCACAUCAAAAAAAUAAUAAAAUAUUUUUUAAAAAAAAUUAUUCCAAAUAAUCUCAUAUUCAAACACAAUUAUACGCCUGUUUCAGUGUUUCUUGGGCCAUUGGAAAUUAAUUGAAGUCUUCUCACUAGUGGUCCAUUUGGAAAGCCAGAGAGAUGGGGUACAUUUUAACAUUAGUACUGAUCGUCUAUUUUCAAUUCCUUCAAGAAAAAUAUUAUAAUUAAUAUCUACUUACAUAUGAGCUCCAUCAGAUCCGAUCAAUGCAAGCGGAGGUCAUCUCCGUCUCCGUCUCUUAUAAUGCAAGGAACUUCCUCAAUUUCACUCUCAAAUUUUAGUGUCGCAUAAAGAGAAAUAUUAACAAAUCUCGCCUUCUCCACAUCUGACAAGAAUAUUCAAUUAUUCAACAAACAAACGGAGCAAGAAAGAAAAGAUUAACAAAUAACAACGUAGUGGUGACAGUAGUGUAGGAAUUACGUGAAAGUUGCAUCUCGGUUUGGAAAAGCAAAGAAUUUUGUCUUUUUAUAAUUUAUAAUUAGUCAUCUAUGUUACCUUUAUUUUGUCUUUUUUUUUUUUCUUUUUGUUGAAAAUUCAAGCAUUGCUGUUCAAUAUGCACGCUCCAAAAAUUAAUCUUAUAAUCCAAAAAUCAAUAGCUAGUUUUUAUUUUCAAAAGAAAAUAGUAAAAUGACUUCAAUAGAGAUUUUAGUUUGAUGGAAUCUUUGACUUGAGUUUAUAUAAUUACUAACAAGGGCCUUAAGCCAUGAACAAAGAGUACAGAGGAGUCAGCAUCGGUCCGUGAUUUACGUUUCACGGGUCCUAAUAGAUUUGUAACCCGAAUCGGUUCUAUUGGUUCGACAAAAAAUUAAAUCAUAACUGUGUUCAUGGUCAUAAAGUACUCGAAUGAUUUGGCAAAGCGGUUCACGGACCCGGAGGUACUAAGACUCAGUACCAAAGUUAAAAAAGAAAUCACAUUUUCAUAAUUGAGAAUUAGAAAAUAAGUAAACACCUAAAAGACUUUAUUUAAAUAUAAUUCAUUAUUUGUUAAGAAAGAUCAAUACUUGCAUAUUCAUAGUAAAAACAUGUUUGUAAAUAUCACUUAUUCUCAGCAACAAAAGCUAAAUAUAUUAUAUAAUUAGCAAGUUAAGACUUUUAUAUUGUUGAGAUAGUCAAGUAUAUCAUCUCAAAUAUAAAUAUUUGAUUAAAGAUGAUUAUAUAUUCCUCUAUUAAUUUUAGUUUUAAUGGACAAAAUUAUAAGUAUAUCCUUACAUAUGAAUUGGGUCAGGUAUCUGCGAUUUGAAUUGCGACAAGACAUACUCCCUUGUUAAUCCUGCUACCCGAACUACACAUAUUAAAACCGAUUCGAGUAUCCCAAAUUGCGGUUCAAAAAUCAAUAUUUACGAUUUUUUGGGUUUCUCUCAUCAAAAUAAACAGCCUGUGUUACAUAAACUUGCAAAUCUUUAAUACUUACAAUCAAACAAAAAUUUAUUCCUAUCGUACCAUAGAACCCAACCGACAACGGGAAAAUGAGGAAACCGAAGAACAUUAAAGCGGUUAACAGUUGAGAAUUUUUUACAACCAAAAUUUAGCCAACUAAUGAAAUCUAAUUGAGCCACCCAAAGAAGGGGAAUUGAUAGGAAAAGAUGUAGCCAUCCAAAGACAUGGGGCUUCAGGACGCUCCUAAUUAUGUGUUUAGAUUCCUUGCCCGCACAAAACGCAGGAGUUCUAUCGAGGCCAUCGAUCCUUUCGAUUUUUACCUCAAUCUUCCACAAAAGCACCAGAAAAAGCCAGAUCAUACAGAUGACCAAUUACAAUCUCGAAGAAAAACUGCUACGUACCGUAGCACUCCCUGAUGAUAUAUCAUCAAGAAGAAAUAGAGCAGUAAUUAGUUGUUUGUUCAUCAAUUUCAUUAGCAAAAGGAAAAAAAAAAAAAGAGCAUUUAAUUAGUGGUUUGUUCAUCAAUUUCAAUGUAAAUAUAAAUAAACUCCUUUAAAUGAAAAAAGCAUGAUUAUUUCUACAAGCCAAUUAAUGGUAACAACAAAAAAAAUUACCUGAUAUUUGCACCAGCUGAGGCCCUUCAAUAUUUUCUAUAAAUGAUCUUCAGAUUCUCAUUUCCAUUAUAUUUCUGUGCUUCUUCAAUUUCCCGUACUAAAGAUUUGACGCCAUCUCCGCAAAAACUCACAUUAAUUGUUUCAAGAGUUGAUAUACGCCCUAAACAAGCAGGCAUCAUUUCCAAAUAAGAAAUUCCGUCGAGUUCUAAUUGCUGAAGGCACGGGAAGUAAUCAUCACUGUCAGGGUCUGUCUCUAUCCACUCAACAAUCGCUACACAUUUCAAAGUCAAGACCCUGAGUUUAGGUAAUCCUCCUUCCAUCAGCUCCCAUUUUCGGCCCUCCAUUGACUGGACUCUUAAUUUGAGGACUUCAAGAUUGGGUAGUUGUUCAAUCAAUGACAUUUCUCUACAGGGAAGACCCAGAGCUUCAAGACUCAACUCUUUCAAAUUCAUGGGAAAAGAAAGCUCAACAUGUUCCACUGAGCCUAAGAGGCAGAAGCCCCCUAAGGUGACUGACUCUAGGCAUUCUAGUCGACUCAUGUUGCAGCAUACUCUGUUUUGAUCCCCCAAAUGGAAAAUUUUAAGUCGGCGAAUGUUGGGAAUCCUUCUCAACAGUUUCUCUCCUUCUUUAUCAAGAUAAAGACGCAGAGUAGAGAGUGUGUCUAAAUUAGGUAAAGUAGAGAGGUUUUCAACAACAUUGUCAUUGGAAGAGAAAGGAAUAACGACGCCAUGCCUUACAUGUACAUGCCUCAACUUCUUCAUGUUCCAGAUGCUAUCUGGCAAUGAAACCAUCUGGUGAGAAUAUAGACGAAAGGUUUCCAAAUGUGAGAGCUUGGCUAUAGAUGGUGGAAUGAAUUCCAUUUUCCAAGCUCUAAGGGCUAAGUACCUCAAACAAAGAAGUGAUUCAACUUCAGCUGGAAGCUCCUUCAGCCUUAGCAUAAUGCCCUCUAAAUUCAAAACUUUAAGUUGUUUGUAGAUGCAAAAAAGGAAGGAGAUGUUACGCAACUCAAACUUAUCUCCUGGAGUAGCAUCAAAGAAUAGCAGAGUACCUAAAUAUGGACAAAAUAGCUUUGACCUUAUAAAAUCUUCUCCACUGGAGCAAAUGGACAACCGAGGUAGGUUGGGAGGCUCAUUAAAGGUAGAGAGCUCAUCAUAUCCUCGCAGGACCUGAAGAAAUUUCUUUUCUUUAGCCUCGCCCUUACAGAACUCAAAAAUCAAAUCGUGAAUGUAACAAGUUUUGACUCCACCAAUGGAUCUGCUUUUACUUACCAUAACUAAGUUUCGACCAAUUAGGUCCAUCAGAUAUUCUUCUGCAAUGACCUCCGAUCUUUUUCCUUCAAUUUUUUCCACAAACCCUUCUGCAAUCCAUAGACGCAUCAAAUUCUUGGCACCAAUUUUUUCAUCUUCUCGAAAUGCAGCAAAAUACAGCAAGCAUGCCUUCAAGUGAUACGGUAAAUGCUCAUAACUGAGCUCCAAUGACUUCUUGCACUGGUCUGUACCAGACACCAUGGUUGAAGUUAAACUUUCAGCAAAUUCUUCCCAAACCAAACUAUCAUGCCCUAUAGUUGCCAGAACUCCAGCAACAACAACAACUACUAGUGGCAAUCCCCUGCACUUCUUGGCAAUCUUCGUAGCAAUUCCACACAAUGCUUGAGGACAAUCUUCUUUUCUAAAUACCUUCUUCAGCAGUAAUUCAAAACUUUCUUUCUCACUGAGUGGACGAAGAUUGUGAGGUUUCCCGCCAUAUUCAACCUGUGAAGCCACAUAAGAAGAUCGACUCGUGAAGAUGAUUCUACUUCCUUUCUUUUCAUCGGGGAAUGAAAUUCUCAGCUCAUUCCAUACCUUAAUGUCCCAGACAUCAUCAAAAACAACAAGAUACCUCUUCGUCUUCAGCCUUUGAUAGAGCUUGUGAAGCAAUUCAUGUUCAUUCAAGUUUUUAAGCUCUUUGUCCAUCCUUGACCGUUUUCCAUCAGAACACAAAAUUUGUAUUAACAAGCUUUUCAUGUUAAAUUCUUGAGAAACAGUGCACCAAAGACGAAUGUGGAAGUUACAGAUUACUGAACUGUCAUUGUAAACUUUUUUGGCUAAAGUUGUCUUACCAAGCCCAGCCAUUCCCACAAUAGGAACAAUUUCCACCUGUUCUGGUCCCCAUAUAAGUCGUUCAAUUACUUUUGCUGCCUCGUCAUCGAGACCAACCAUGACUUCGUGGGCUAUUGGCAUUUUACCUUUUGAUAGAAUGUGGCUGGAAGUCUUGCUAACUUCUGGUGCUCUUAAGCUGUGAAAGGAAGGAAGACUUUCAAUAAUGCUUGAGCCACUGAUCUGAUCCUUAAAAUGCUUGAUAUGGAUGUUGGUAUUAGCCAGCAUAUCAUAACAGUCAAGGGCCUCUGUUCUUUCUGAGAAGCUAACUUCUCCUUCCUUCACUCUGUUUAGAGAAGGCAAGCAAAUUAUAAUGCCUGCCUCACAAAGAAGAGCACCAAUUUUUUCGUUUUGUUCAUCCAUCUUCUCCUGCUGCUCCCUUAAAAUGCUUCUCAAGAACCUCAGUCCUGCAUAGAGUAUUCGCAUUUCAUCUUUCAAAGAAUCCAUAAAGCUAGAGCUGCAGCAUAACAGCUGCCAGAGACAACUUAUGAGAGAAUCAUUGAAGUUUUUCAAUAUCUGCUUAUCCAUCAUUCUAUUAUGCAAUGAUUUUGAGGAUCUUGUAGCUCUAAGAACUUCCAUAUAAAUCUCAUAGACUUGAAAAUCAAUAGGUGUGAUUUUCUGUUGUUGCUCAUAUAUCAUGGAGCAGAACUCAGGAUUGUGCCGCUCCUUACCAUCCCAAACAGAGCACAUGUAAAAGAGGUGUGCUGCGUUCAAAGUCACCACUUCAAAGUGAGCCAAUAGCAAGGCAGGAAUAUCUGCAGUUCCUCGCAAUUUGGCAAAGGGAAUGAAGUUUUUCAAGAAUGUUAGCUUUGCUUCAAGGGCUUGGAAUUGAGCACUAACUUGGGGAUCCAUAUCAUCAAUAAUACCCAAAUAGACAGUUGUUAAAUCCGCUAGAUUUUCUAGAAUGAGGUCUAUAAAUUCGAUUAGUUCAUCAACUGGCAUGCAAGAAUUUGAUUCCAAUGAUCUGCUGCUUGGCAAAGUAAAGUAAACUUGGAUGAUUUCUUGCUUAAAUGAUUUGAUCUGUUUCAAAAACUCAGAAAACACUUCAUAGGGAACACGACCUAGGCCACUGCCAUCAAAUGCUGAUAUAUCAUGGCAAAACGAGUACUGAAAGUCCUCCUCAUAUUUGUGAACGUUAUCUUCAAUGCAAGAUAAGAAAGAUGGAAGACUCACCUUCUUCACAACAUUCUCAGAUUCCAAGUACAAAUCAUUGCUGUGGCUCCACUUUCUUGCACACAUAACAAAUGUUUUGUGAAAUCUUAUAUCCAGGAACGCAGCUCCAAAAUUGCAUUCUUCAAACGCAUUGUACCCGAAACGGAGCAUGGAUUUUUCCUCAGUUUCACUCUCAAAUUUUAAGGGAGAAACAGAUCUCGCCGACUGCAGAGCAAGCAAGUAUUUCUUUCCUGAAAUUUCUUUUUUCCCGUGGGAAGGUGAAGAAGAGAAAUGAGAUAAUAAAUUAUUCAACAGACAAACGGAGCAAGAUCAGGAAAGAACAGAUGAAUCAAAGUUAACGAGAGAGCGGUCAAAUAAUCUGGAAAUGAUCUUGGUCUGAAUAAAGUUAAGAAAUUUUAUUGACUACUACUGCAUAAUUUUUUGGAGUUUUUUUUUUUUAAUACCCGUUUCGUUGUUGAGAAGGACCGGUCUGGCAUUGCACCCCACACUGGCUUUUCGUUCUGAAAGAAAUUUUUUUUUUAUUGGUUUUUGGACUAUUAAUGUGGCAUUGCACCCCACAUUUAGACUAUUUAUGCCGUCAAUUAUGACGGCUAAUCCUUAGACUGUUUAAGAAGCAUUUUUGCUAACUAAACCCACACUAGUUGCUCAUCCCUUCCAUCACACCCCAAUACACACACACACACACACAUAUAUAUAUAUAUAUGUAUGUAUGUACAUAGGUAGUGUCAAAAUGACACACAUUGUCCUCCGUGGUGGAAUUAGCUAAUCUUUGUGGUUACUAAAUAUUUUAUCUGGACAUUAAGGUAUUCUUGACAUUUCGUUUGGCUUCAUUGUCGUGGGCUGUUUUUGUUAUUUUGAUAUUUCAGUCCAAAAUAUGGAAAAACUUAUUUAUAAUAUUUAAAAUUAUAGAAGAUUUACAUGAAAAGUGCUGAAGCUAAAUAAAUUUAACCAAGAUUUGUGCCUUUCAUUAGGUAAGACUUUCUUACAUGUUGGCCUGGUUACCAUAGUCCAAGAGAGAAAAAGAAAAGAAAGGGGCCAAAAAGGAAAAAGGAACUUUAACUUUCAAUUGAUAGUUUCUUUCAAAAUUCAAGUAGUGUUGCUUAAUAAGUUUUACAUCCUAUGAUUGCAAACAACAUAAUUUUACAAAAUAACAAUUUUUUUUUAUCUGUAAUUGCUAAGAAAAUUGUAAAAUGACUUUAUUAGAUAAUUUUAUCGGCUCAAUGGAUUCUCUAAGUUGAAUGAAAAUAAUUACAUCUUAACAAAGUCCGCAAACCUUGAUAUAUGAACAAGCAAAACUAUAAAAUACAAGUCAAUUAACCGCAAAAAUCCUUAGUAAACUCCAUUUUUUCACCCUCCCCCCUUGUUAAGAUUGCUUGACAAGCAAUCAAUUUCACUUUACACCCUUUUGAAUGAUUUCCACUUUGCAUCUCAAAUUUUUAUUUCUGGAUAGUUUGCACUUUAAAAUUACUAAUUACCAUGAAAUUGCACCUUAAAAUUUAUUUUGGAUAUUUUGCACCUAAAGUUAAUAAUCCAUCCAAAAUUACUGUGGUUUCACACAAUAUUAAUGUCAUUGUAGGAGCAAUAUGCACCUAUACACUGGCUUCUUAACUGUAAAAGUGGGAUUGGUUCAUCAGAAUGUCCCUCAAAAAAAAAAAUUAAUAAAAGAGUGAAUACAUAUGCGUGUUAGAGCACUUUCACUUGCAAGAAGUUUGAUGACUUUAGGAUUUGAGACAGUUUAAUGAUCUGGAAUUAGCACCCACCAAGAAUGGUCUGGACUGAUCAGCCUCCUUCCUAUUAUAUUCAUCAGCAAACAAACGAAUAAAUUAUAGUGUAACCCCAUACAAUUUAGUGCAUUUUCGUAUAAUCAUAGUGUGGUAAAAUGUAUAUGACUCCACGAUUUGAAGCACAUUGUCAAAAUGACGGAUAUCGUCCUCUGCGUUGGAAUUAGUUAAAAUGUCAAAAUUAUUUAUAUUAAAACCCUAAAAUGAUUUUAUUAACUAACGUUGAAACUCUAAGAUUUAGAAGUCUUGGAAUCUAAUUCUCCUUCCUCCUCUCCGCUUUUGAAAAAGAAAUCCUAUUUCUUCCUUGUUAAAAAAAUGUUAAUAUAUAUAUAUAUAUAUAUAUAAGAUAAAUUACACUUUUGUACCUUGAAAAGUUAUUCAUAACCAUCAGGCCACUUUACCAUCCUCUGCGUUAGAUCUCCAUCAAUUCUAAUAUUAAUUUCCUUGACUAACUUUAUGUCACAUGAAUUUAAUCAAAAGUCGAUCUACUAAAGGGCCAGAUAGAAGGAUGUUGGCAGCAUCAGAAGUCUUCAACUGAUCCAACAGGCCUAUUUCUGCUGGAAUUUGACCUGUUAAUUGGUUGUUGUUAAGUAGUAGGGUAUUUAGAAAUGUACAAUUUAAAAGUUUACAGGAAUCUCACCUUUUAUAGAAACAGAUCUCACCGACUGCAGAGCAAGCAAGUAUUUAGUAUUUCUUUUGGAGUUUUUGACAAGUGAUAGGUUGCAAUUUAUCUAUUUAUUUUAUUAUUAAUUUCCUCUGUUACCUGACCCGAUGUGGAUUAAUUAUUAGAUUCUACUCAUUUUUCGUAAUUUGCAUUUAUUUCAGGGAGUAGAACGAAAAUAUAACAACGGGUGCCAAUUUGACAGAAAAGAAAUCCAGAUGAUAGAGCUUGUCCCAGGGGCAUUUUUGGAAAAGAAGAUGUCACGCCCACUUUGAUAAUUUCCGCAAAGAAAUGACGGAUGAAGGGCUUCUUCCUCCUGGUUAGGGAUGGCAACGGGGCGGGGUUGGGGCGGGGGACGAGAGACCUAUUAGUUCCCCCCGUCCCCCGCCUCCCACUCCCCCUGCCCCGCCCCGCCCCCGCCCCGCCUUGCCCCGCUUCCCCCGCGGGGGCACCCGCGUUAAUAAAAUUUUAUUAUAUAAUUUUAUUAUAAUUAAAUUUUAAUAAAUAAUCAAGUACUAAAAUAUCAACACAUCACCAAAUUAUUAUUCAUUGUAAUUUUACAAUUGAAACUCAUAAAAACAAUCAAACAGAAGUUAUUUGAAUACAAUCCAAUAUGAUGAAAUAAAUAUAACUAAAAUAGUCAAAUUUUCACUUUUAGUACAAAUGCAAUCACUAAUUCAUUAUUGUGUUUGUGCUUUUUUUUGAGAAAAAAGUGUUAUUCUAUAAAGUGUAAUUAGAAAUUUAGUAUAAAUGUAUUAGUAAAUUUAGUAUAACUAAUUAAUAAAUUCUAUUAGUAGACAUGUAUAAUUAUUCAUAUAAUUGAUAAUAUCAAUUAUAUUACAUAAAUUAAUAUACAUUAUAUAAUACAUCUAACUAAUAAUAUAAUUAUCAUAAGUUUAUAACUAAUUAACUUACAUAUAAUAUAUAGUCAUUUAUAUAUAUAUAUAUAUAUAUAUUUUUUUUUUUGCGGGUGGCGGGGCGGGGGAUGGGGCGGGGGAGUAUACCCCCGCCUCCCGCCCCGUUUCUAAGCGGGGGGAAAAAUUUCCCCCCGCCCCCGCCCCACCCCCCGCCCCAACCCCCGCCCCGUGAGCCCCCCGCGGGCACCCGCCCCCAUUGCCAUCUCUACUCCUGGUGAGCCGCCGCAAUAAAGGAGGAAAAACAGGAUCAGAUGGAGGCGAGCUUAGUUUUAGUUUUCCGUCUGUAGCUUAGCUUGAGAUUGUUGACUUUUCCCUAAAAAUGUUUUUUGCUUGUCAUACGCAUGGCAGGCAUUAGAAAUUGGUAGCUUUUGACUUUUCUUCAUGUUAAAUGCUUAGAGUUUUUCUAUCUUUCCUGGUAUGCCGUCCGUAGUGAGGCAAAGGAUCAUUUCGUGUAACUUUGCUAUCUCCUCCUGGUUGGAGCGGAUUGAGUUCUAAAAAAUCAAUGACAAUGGCCGCAGAUUUAUCUUCAAUUUCCCGUGGACUUAGUUCAUCAAAUAUGAACUAAUUUCCUUCCUACUAGUCAAGGAGCAACGAAGGCUUUGGUUCGCUUAAAAAUUAUGAGAUAGAUUUAAUUCAAUCUUUUCAUUUUAUUUAUUGGUAUCCGCAUAUUUCUUGAUUUCUAUGCUCAUGGUUAUUUAAUUAAUUGAUUGUUUUGGAUCCGGAUAACUAAUUGAUUUGGUAACCUAUCGUCAAUUAGGGCAUUAAAUCCGUAAUUGUUUAAUUGUCCUGAAAUAGUGAUAACUGGCACGAUUAGAUUCGUGUCAGGGGGAUACGCAGGCUAAUCUGAAAUAACUCUGGUAGUGCGUUAUUUGGUUAGAAUAGGGUUCCUCUAAUACGUAAGGCAAUUGGGGAAUUAAAUCUUACGGGCGUACCUAGGAUUAUUUCCUAAUUAGAGCAGUGAUUAACGGGCGUACCUUAAUCACCGACACAGUAAGGAGGAGUUGACUGUCAUCCCCUGGUUGGCAGUUAUAACCUAUUUAUUGAUAAAUAAUCGGAAUUGCCUUUAUUUCAAUGAUCAAUUAGGUGAACCAUUGCUGAAGUUACUUUUUUGCUAGAUCUUUAGUUAAUAUUACCUUGAUUUUAGUGAAGUGCCAUUUGACUUUUAGUUGCCUACUUUAUUUUAUUUUUAAUUGUUUCCUUGUUUUAAUUGAUUUAGGCCUUUAAUUAUUGUUAUUCUAAAUUCAGUGAAUUGUGGUUUAAUUUCUAGUUAGUUAUUUAUUUUUAUUUUCUUAUUUGAAUUUAUUUGAUUGCUGUCGUUCCUACAAAAUCACCCCCUGUGUUAUUUUGAAUUUCUUAAGAAACAAAUAUAUCCAGUCCCUGAGGAUACGACCCUACUUGCCCUGUCUACAAAUUCAUAAUUAUUUGUGAAAGAAAUAACCAUCCCAUUCGGGUAUAUCGGAUUAAGCAAACUCUUCGGGAACAAGGUGAAUCAAGUAACCCAUUGCACACCUAGAGUCCCUGCUCCAGUACUUGGAAUUGGGUCUUGGUCAUUUUAACUGGCAAUUAGGUUUAAUUUUAUUAUUGUGCAGGCUUCGACACCCUGUCAAUUUUUGGCGCCGUUGCCGGGGACUGGCGUUAUUAUUUGUUCCUUUUUAAAUUCAUUCUUUUUUUUUCCUUUUGCUCUAAUUUUCUGGUAUUUUUCUAGUGCAUGCCUUGGUCUUCUCGUACAGGUGAUUUGGUUUUUGACCCUGAGGUAGAGAAGACUGCGCGUAGAAUAAGAAAAGAGACCAGACAGCUCAGAGAGGAGCACUCCUGUGCUACAUCUCGGAGACCUGAGUCAGAAGCUGAACCAACAGAUUCAUUUGGUGACACUUCGAGUGACUCGGAGCAAGAAGAAAUCCCCAUGACUAAUGCACGAACAUUAAGGGAGUUGGCUGCUCCUGAUUUAAAUCAGCAGCCUUUAUGCAUUACUUUCCCAAGUUUGAGUGAAAACACUUCAUUUGAAUUGAAAUCAGGUCUAAUUCACCUUUUACCCUCUUUUCAUGGUUUACCAGGUGAAGAGCCGUAUAAGCAUCUGCAAGAGUUUGAUAUCGUAUGCAAUAGUAUGAAACCCCCGGGAAUUACAGAAGAGCAGAUAAAAAUGAGGGCAUUCCCCUUUUCCUUGAAGGAUUCUGCAAAGGACUGGCUGUACUACCUGCCACCAGGUAGCAUCACCACGUGGGACCAAUUGAAGAAAAAUUUUUUAGAUAAAUAUUUCCCUGUGUCUAUGGCUGCAAACCUAAGGAAAGAAAUUUGCGGGAUCAACUAGCAUCCAGGGGAGUCACUCUAUGAGUAUUGGGAACGGUUCAAGAACUUGUUGCACAAGUGUCCCCAGCACCAGAUAAGUGAGCAGUUGCUCAUUCAAUAUUUUUAUGAGGGGCUCCUUUUCAGAGAUAGGAGCAUAAUUGAUACUGCAAGUGGAGGGGCACUGGUGAACAAAACCCCUCGGGAAGCAAGGGAGCUAAUAGAAGGGAUGACAGAGAAUUCACUACAGUUCGGUACGAGGGAGGAUGUCCCAGUACGCAAGGUGAAUGAGGUUGAGACAUCCUCUAUCCAGCAGCAGCUAACUGAGUUGACCUCGUUUGUUAGGCAACUGGCUGUGAAAAAUGCAUCACAAGCCAGGGUAUGUGGGAUUUGUACUGGUAUGGGACACUCUGCAGAGAUGUGCCCAAUGAUUCAGGAAGAAACUGCAGAACAGGUGAACAUGACUGGUCACGCGCCCACGCCAAGAAGGGCCUAUGACCCGUACUCGAAUACGUACAAUCCCGGCUGGAAGGACCACCCAAAUCUCAGUUAUGGAAGAAAUAGGCAGCCCAACUAUGCACCGAACAGGCAGUCUAAUUUCGUGCCAAAUAAGCAACCAGGGUACCAGCAGCAAUAUCAACCCCGACCACUUCCGCCCCCGAGCUCUGGUCCAUCUUUGGAGAAGAUGAUGAAACAAAUGAUGGCAACCAUGACGCAAAAUCAGCAAAGGACGGAGGCAACCAUUAUGCAAAAUUAGCAAAGGACGGACUCUAAAAUGCAGGACAUAAGGAAUCAGAUAAGUCAAAUGGUUACAACAAUCAACCGUUUGGAUUCCCAGAACCAAGGUAAAUUGCCAUCUCAGCCUGAAUUAAAUCCGAAGAACGUGAGCGCAAUGACCCUAAGGAGCGGGAAGGAAAUUCAGGGGCUUGAAUCUGUGAUCCCUAAGGACUAGGAUGAGAAAAAGAUUGACAAUGAGCUUGAGAGGGAGGACAGCAAUGGUGCAGAUCCAAAGGUACUUCCAAACCCAAUAAUUACAGUUAAAACUAACCUACCUCCUUUUCCUAGCAGGUUGGAAAAAUCGAAAAAACAGGAUAAGAAGAAAGAGAUCUUGGAGGUAUUUCGCAAGGUGGAGAUAAAUAUCCCCCUCUUAGACGCCAUCAAACAAGUAUCAAAAUAUGCCAAGUUCUUAAGGGACUUGUGUGUCAACCGAAGGCGAUUCAGGAGAGAUGAAAGGAUCAUUGUUGGGGAGAAUGUGUCAGCGGUCCUGCAGAGGAAGCUUCCACCCAAGUGCGGGGACCCAAGUAUGUUUACUAUCCCCUGUAGAAUAGGCAACACUGUGAUUAGAAGGGCCAUGUUGGAUCUAGGAGCAUCAAUUAAUGUCAUGCCUAAAUCUAUCUAUGCUUCUCUAAAACUAGAUCCAUUAAAAGAAACUGGAAUAAUCAUUCAAUUGGCUGACCGAACUAAUGCAUACCCUGAUGGGUUGGUUGAAGAUGUGUUGGUAAAAGUUAAUGAUUUGGUGUUUCCAAUUGAUUUUUAUGUACUUGAUAUGGAUGAUGAUCACUCCCCUGAUCCCUCACCUUUGUUAUUGGGUAGACCCUUUAUGAGCACAGCACAAACAAAAAUUGAUGUUAAUAAGGGUAUCUUGUCCAUGAAAUUUGAUGGAGAAAUUGUGCAUUUCAAUAUUUUUGAUACUAUGAAAUAUCCCUCGAACUCCAAUUUUAGCUCUGUUUUUUCUGUGAGUGUUAUUGACCCUGCGGUGCAGGAAAUGUUUGAAACUGUUGGCAGGGAUGAAUUGAAAGUUGUUUUAACGAAGCAUCUCGAGUUGGAGACAACUCCUGAGGUGGAGUGGAGUGAAUAUUUAAAAUGCACGAUAGGAACACUACACUCAUUGCCAACCUCCACAAAAAGGUACGACGUUUCACCUAUAUUCAUUCCCGAACCUCACCAGAGGGUAUUGCCAUCGGUGGUGCAGGCGCCUGUUUUGGAGUUGAAGCCCUUACCAGAGCACCUGAAGUAUGCAUAUCUGGGUGACAAUGAGACACUCCCGGUGAUUAUCUCAUCGGCACUGUCAAAAACUCAGGAGGAAAAAUUGAUCCGGAUCCUUAGAGAGCAUAAAGAGGCGAUAGGUUGGACAAUCGCAGACAUUAAGGGGAUCAGCCCGGCCAUCUAUAUGCACCGGAUUAGACUGGAAGAGGAUGCUAAACUUGUUCGGCAGGCUCAAAGGAGGCUCAACCCCCUCAUGAUGGAAGUUGUAAAAAAGGAGAUUUUGAAAUUGUUAGAUGUGGGGAUUAUUUUUGCAAUAUCAGAUAGCCCUUGGGUGAGUCCGGUCCAGGUAGUCCCAAAGAAGGCAGGAGUGACGGUGGAAGCCAACCAAACAGGUGAACUCGUGCCAGUGCGCAAACCCACUGGAUGGAGGCAGUGUAUUGACUACCGUAGGCUGAACGCUGUCACAAAAAAGGACCAUUUCCCUCUUCCUUUCAUUGACCAAAUGGUUGAACGUUUGGCUUGUAGAGCUUACUAUUGCUUUUUGGAUGGAUUUUCAGGAUACUUUCAGAUAGCAAUUGCCCCAGAGGAUCAAGAGAAGACAACUUUCACAUGUCCGUUCGGGACUUUUGCCUAUAAACGAAUGUCAUUUGGGUUAUGCAAUGCACCUGCAACUUUUCAAAGAUGUAUGGUAAGCAUCUUUUCUGAGUAUGUUGAGAAAAUAAUUGAGGUUUUCAUAGAUGAUUUCAGUGUGUAUGGUGAUAGUUUUGAUACGUAUUUAGAUAACCUGAAAUUGAUCCUGAUAAGGUGUAUAGAGACUAAUCUCGUGCUUAAUUGGGAAAAAUGUCAUUUUAUGGUUGAGUACGGGAUAGUUCUGGGUCAUAUUGUAUCGUUUAAGGGCAUUGAAGUUGACAAGGCUAAAAUAGACAUUAUAUCGGCAUUACCUUACCCCGCAAAUGUACGGGAGGUGCGUUCUUUUCUUGGACAUGCAGGUUUUUACCGAAGGUUCAUCAAGGAUUUUUAAAAAAUUGGAGUCACAUUGUUCCAACUCUUACAAAAAGAUGUGACCUUUGAGUUCGAUGACAAGUGUGAAAAUGCCUUUAACAAGUUGAAAGAGUUACUGACCUCAUCCCCGAUCAUCCAACCCCCCGAUUGGGGUUUGCCAUUUGAGAUCAUGUGCGAUGCCAGUGAUCAUGCUGUAGGGGCUGUAUUUGGACAGCGAGUAGGAAAGGCAACUCACAUCAUCUAUUAUGCAUCCCGCGCCCUGAAUGGGGUCCAGUUGAAUUACUCCACCACUGAGAAGGAGUUUCUUGCAGUUAUUUUUGCUUUAGAAAAAUUCAGGUCAUAUUUGUUAGGUACUAAAGUGAUUGUAUUUUUUGAUCAUGCAGCAUUGAGAUACCUGAUGACUAAGAAAGAUGCAAAAUCGAGGCUCAUACGGUGGAUAUUGCUCAUACAGGAAUUUGACCUGGAGAUAAGGGAUAAAAGAGAUUCAGAAAAUUUAGUAGCCGACCAUUUGAGUCGUAUAUCCGUUGGGGAGGAUAAUGAACCAUUGAAGGAUGCAUUCCCUGAGGAGCAUUUAUUUUCUUUAAAUUCUCAAAUGCCUUGGUAUGCCGAUCUGGUCAAUUAUUUGGUAACUGGUAAUUUUCCUGCAAGUUGGCCAAAAUCGAAUAGGGAUAAAAUGAAAAGCGACGCCAAAUAUUUUAUUUGGGAUGACCCGUACUUAUGGAAGAGAUGUGCAGAUCAAGUGAUGAGGAGAUGUGUAAGUGAAAUGGAAUUUCAAUCGAUUUUAGUUUUUUGUCAUACUUUUGCAUGUGGGGGUCAUUUUGGACCUAAGAGAACUGCUCAUAAGGUUUUAGAAAGUGGAUUUUAUUGGCUUUCAUUGUUUAAGGAUGCCUAUGUGUUUUGUAAGUCAUGUGAUCGCUGUCAACGGGUAGGUAAUAUAGCCCGUAGAGAUCAUAUGCCCCAAGUCCCGUUGAUUUUUGUUGAAAUUUUUGAUGUUUGGGGUAUAGAUUUCAUGGGGCCUUUUCCUACUUCAUUUGGUUUUAUAUAUAUUUUGUUGGCAGUUGAUUAUGUGUCUAAAUGGGUGGAGGCCAAGGCCACUCGGACUAAUGACUCGAAAGUAGUUGCAGAUUUUAUCAGGUCUAAUAUUUUUGUGCGAUUUGGAAUGCCAAGAGUUAUUGUCAGUGAUAGGGGAACGCAUUUCUGCAACAAAACCAUAGCUGCGUUGUUUCGCAAGUAUGGUGUACUCCACAGGGUCUCAACGUUGUACCACCCCCAGACCAAUGGUCAAGCGGAGGUAUCGAAUAGGGAGAUUAAGUCCAUUUUGGAGAAAAUGGUGCGCUCCGAUAGGAAAAAUUGGAGUCAACGGUUGGAGGACGCGCUCUGGGCCUACCGCACUGCAUACAAGACUCCUAUAGGGAUGUCACCGUACAAGUUGGUGUUUGGGAAGCCGUGUCACCUUCCAGUGGAGUUCAAGCACAAAGCCUUUUGGGCGAUAAAGCAAUGCAACAUGAACUUAGAGGAAGCCGGUGCCCAACGAAAGUUGGAUUUGCAAGAAUUGGAGGAGAUCCGGAACGAAGCCUACGAAAAUGCAUUAAUUUAUAAGGAGAGAAGCCAGACAUUUCAUGAUCAACAAAUUUCAAGAAAAACUUUUGAAAUUGGUCAGAAGGUCCUCCUGUACCAAUCCAGACUCAAGUUAUUCCCAGGUAAGCUACAUUCCCGUUGGAUUGGACCUUUUGUUUUGACUCACGUUUUUCCCUAUGGCACAGUUGAAAUCCGGAGUGCUAAGACAGACAACAAGUUUGUGGUGAAUGGACACUGUCUCAAACAUUAUUACGAAGGUUUUUUGAGGGGAGAGGUGGAGACAAUAAGUGUAGACGCACCACCGUGUCCUAAUCAGUGACACUUAAUCAUGUCUAGCCAAAAACAUUAAAGAAAGGCGCUCAUUGGGAGGCAACCCAAUUGUUUCUUUUAAUUGUUUGUUUUGAUUUCUUGUGGUAGUUUAAAUAUGUUUUCCUUGAGUUUGAUUGGUUUCGGGUUUGAAAUUUUCAUUUUUGCUGAUUUGUAGGUGUUCUUCUGUCAUGACGCGCCCGCGCGAUGACGUGGGGAGCGCUCACGGUCAGAGAGUUCUCCUGCUCUCAUGACGCGCUCGCAUCAUGACGCCCAGGAAGCUCAGGGUCAGCAAGCUCUCUUGCUCUCAUGACGUGCUCGCGUCACGUUCGCGGGAAAGGUAAGGAUUCAAAAAAAAAAAAUUCUUCUUAUCACCAUAGCUUUAGUUUCCAAAAAUUCAAAAAGGAGAAAUUUUUUUUAAAAAAAAAUAAAAAAAAAAAGAAAAAUUUAAUUUCCGUACAAAAUUUUUUUUUUCUCUGUGGCUUAAAUGGAGCCUAAAGACAAGAAAAAAAAAGCCAAAACAGUUUUUUUUUCUUUUCCUUCUUUUCUUUUCUUUCUUUCCUUUCUUUUUUUUCUUUCUUCUUCUUUCUUUCUCUUUUCUUUCUUUCUUCUCCUUUGUUUUGCUCUGUCCGUCGCCCGUGCCCACCUCCAUCUCCGGCUCCACGCCGCCAACCAGCAGAUCUCCACUUCACAGCGUCACUUGCGCGCCGCCGCUGCUCUGAACAUCUCCCUCGCACGACUUUUCCCUCUUUCAGCAGCGAUCCACUUCGCAGCGCCGCUGCUGCGCGCCAGCGCUGCUCUGUGCGAGCUCUCCCUGAGCCAAACACCCAAGCGCGCGGCCUACGCUACGCCGCUACGCGCCACCGCACCCCUCCCAACUCUACCGCGCGGACUCGCCGCCGCUCUGCUCCCACCGCACGCCAGAUUGCUCCUAUUCCGGCUCCAGCUCGGUCUCCACAGGUGCGUAACACGCCUCGCCUGUGUACGCCGCCGCUGCUCACUGCUCGCGUCUCACUUGCGCGCUGCCGACUCUCCCUCCGCUACUGCCGGCCGAUUGCUCUCUCUCUGCGCGCGACCCUAUCAGACCGCCUCGCCUCUGCAAGCCGCCAGCUCUCUCACCCCACUCGCCCCUUUUACGGUGGAGGUAUUUGAGACUUGCUCACCAAUUUCUUCGUACUAAUUAAGCUGUCUGGAUUGGUAGACAAUUGUUAUUGUUGGCCGUGGGAGCUAUCCUUUGGACUAUUUAUUGUGUUUUUCUUUGGAUUUGAGUUCUUUUGUUUUGGCUUUGAUGGAUGAUUGCCCGUUCCUUUGCUCUUGGGUUGUCUGAUUAGCAUUUUUCAUUGCUAUUGAUGGUGCGUUGGCACACUGUUGAGCGUCAUCUACUUGUGGAAUCGAACCAUUGCUGUGUUUAGAGUUUUCAUUAGUGUGGGUCGGUCAUUGGGAUUGUUUCAUCUACUCUAUUGUUGACAGCCGGGGGCUUAUUGCUUGAAUUGUUGGGACUAAGGUGGCGCGAUUUCUGGGUUGUUUGUUGAAUUGGAAAGGCAUUGUGACCCAUGCAUUGUUUCUUGAAGUUGGUUAACUAAUUUUGGAUUACUGGGUGUAUUUGGUCUCUUGAUCUCACUUGCAUUCUGUUUUCAUUUCAAUUGAGUCGUUUACUGCCUUUGUUGGACCAUCUUAUUGAAUAACCUCUGCCAAUUGCUAGUUGUGGUUAUCAGUUAGGCUUCCUGUAGUUCCUGAGUAUCAUUGUUGCUUUGUUGGGAAACUGGUAUAAAUUGUGGGUGACUCUAUUGUCCAUUUGCUGGCUGAUUAACUCGGUAUUUGCUGGUUACACUGGGCGUUGGACAUUCUGCAUCUUGUUGUUCCUGCUGACUGUUGGGGAAUAUGGUGAGACCAAAAUCAUCCUCUAGGUCUAGAGCCCCUCGUUCUCAACCCCCUCCUCAAGCCUCCAUUCCUGUGAAUACAUCUACCAACCUACCUUCCUCUUCUGGUGCUCGAACCCGUUUGGGUAGGGGUAGGGGUGCUCAAGUGGAUACCCCAGCUCACUUCGGAGGGCACCUAACAUUCACUAGACCCGCCGAUCAGCAGAGAUAUGCUAAGGUCUGUGAGCGGCGUAUUAUACCUUGUAAAACUUGGGAAAAAUUAACCGUGAUGGGCCUAGGCAUACGAGAGGAGGUCGAGCAGAUGUUUACAGCUAUCGGGUGGCGCCCAUAUCUAGAUAUCUUAUGCCCCGCCUUUGUCAAGCUGACUCGGGAGUUUUAUUCUACCUUUGAGUUUGAGUUGCCCACGAGGUUCACCGUUGAAACGCCCAAUGUCAUCCGUUUCCGUCUGAUGGGUCGGGAAUUUAAUUUUUCAAUUACCCAAUUUAAUUUGGCAUUUGGAUUCAUUACUCGAGAGUAUGCUGAGACUAGGGAGUAUGGUGAGAGUGCCUGCGAUUACAUCGAGCCUUUUCUCUCCCGCUACCGCGCUGUGUGGGAAGACAUGUCUACCGAUCGGCACCGAUACGACCCUUCUCGGUCUAGGGGCUCCUUUCUUAAGGACCCUAGCGCCCGAUACGUCCAUCGAUUCUUAGCCUACAGUUACUCCGGUCGGAAGGACAGCUCUGGCAUUCUCUCUCGACCUGAGUUUUUCUUCAUCUGGAGUAUGAAGAAUAACAUCAAGGUCAACUUGGGGUGUUGGUUGGCGGCGCAGUUCAAGACCGUCUUAACCAAAAAGAACAAGCCCCUGAUCCUUGGGUCCUAUAUCACCCACUUGGCAACACAGUUGGGGGUUCUUAACCUGGAGGACCACGACUUACAUUUGGCGUGCGAGAUGGGGCUCUUGGACGUAGAUUGCUUGGAGAAGAUGGGAGUCGUCGAGCGCCUGCCUGAUGGUUCCUACCAGUUCACUCCUCCGGGACCACCUAGAGCUCCGGGUGCGCACCAUUCGUCCCAAGCAGGGCCCUCCUCAUUUUCGGGGUCAGCCGAGGACACGGCUGGGCCAUCUUCUUCUGCGCCACCUCCACCACAUGGGACGACUGAGUGGCAGCAACUCCGGGAGCAGGUUCAGACUUUGGAGGCUCGGAUGGUCAACGUGGACGCCAAUGUCGCCGGCAUAGCACAGAAUUUGGCGCAGUUUCUGCUUCAUACAGGCUAUGCACCUCCGUUUCCACCUCGCCCCCCACUAUGACCCGGUUUCAGGGAAGUUUCGUUGUCUUCUCCCUCACUUUUGCUGUUUAUUUGACACAUUGAGAACACUGUGUCCUAUAGGUGUGGGGGGGUCUAGAGUCUUUUUAGUUUUUAAUAGUUUUUAGUUUCUGUGUUUUUAGCUUUUAAUAGUUUUUAGUUUUUAGUAGUUUUUAGUUUUAAUAGUUUCUAGUUCUACUUCUAGUUGCUUAUUUUCUUCCUUUCUGCUUGGGUGCUCAUCUCUCAUGCGGAUGAAAAAAAAAUGAUGUUGGUUUAUUGACUCUGAUUCUACUUUUACCAAGUUUUUCUUUUUAAAUAAACAUGUAUCGGGCUAAUGUGGUGGGGUCCAAGAUAUCUCCUUGGUGAAUAUCGGAUUGCUUGGUUUUUUUUAUUUCUUUGUUAACUUUUUUAGGCAUUGGGAAUGACUGUUGGCAUUUUAAUGUGAACUGGUCCAAUAUUGAUUCCAGUUCUCCAUGUUUGGCAAUAAUGAGGCGAGCUGCUCCUAUGCUUAGUUGCUAGUGUUGGUAUUUCGCGUUUUUGCAUUGUUUGGCUGUGAAUAAGUUUGACUGUACUCCGCUAUUAAGUUACUACUGAGUAACCGGGAAUCUGCACCUAAAAGUGUCGAUUCUCGCGUCAAAAGGUGGUGCUUUCUAUGAGUACGUGGUCGUAUAGCGGUAGGAGCUGAGUAACCGGGUUCAUUCAUCUAAAAAUAUUGGAGUUCGCGUCAAAAGGCCCCGACGGCUAAAGACUAAGUCUUUUUGUGUUAAUUAUUAUUGCUAUUAAAAAAAACAAAACACAGAAAACGGAAAAAAAAGGGGAAGAAAAAAAAAGGGAGAAUAAAUAAUAGGAGAGCUUGCCGGUUUAUGGACUUAAUAUGCAGACUCGUGUGAAUAUUUGGAUCAUUAGCUGAUAAAUGUGGUGUGCCAUUCCUUUUUCUUAGAUUAGCUAAUUUAGAAAUUGAAGAAAUUUGUGGUUUAGAGGCUAACCGGGGGGAUGCUUCUCGGAUUUUAAUCACUAGUGCUCGAUAUAUGAUUCUUCCUGAUAUCUUGGCAAUUUGGUGGAUAGAGCAAUGGCCAUUAUCAAAUUUUGGGGUCUGUGCACUAUUCUUAUGCUUGAGGACAAGCACGGUUUAGGUGUGGGGGGAAUUGAUAGGUUGCAAUUUAUCUAUUUAUUUUAUUAUUAAUUUCCCCUGUUACCUGACCCGAUGUAGAUUAAUUAUUAGAUUCUACUCAUUUUUCGUAAUUUGCAUUUAUUUCAGGGAGUAGAACGAAAAUAUAACAACGGGUGCCAAUUUGACAGAAAAGGAAUCCAGAUGAUAGAGCUUGUCCCAGGGGCAUUUUUGGAAAAGAAGAUGUCACGCCCACUUUGGUAAUUUUCGUAAAGAAAUGAUGGACGAAGGGCUUCUUCCUCCUGGUGAGCCGCCGCAAUAAAGGAGGAAAAACAGGAUCAGAUGGAGGCGAGCUUAGUUUUAGUUUUCCGUCUGUAGCUUAGCUUGAGAUUGUUGACUUUUCCCUAAAAAUGCUUUUUGCUUGUCAUACGCAUGGCAGGCAUUAGAAAUUGGUAGCUUUUGACUUUUUUUCAUGUUAAAUGCUUAGAGUUUUUCUAUCUUUCCUGGUAUGCCGUCCGUAGUGAGGCAGAGGAUCAUUUCGUGUAACUUUGCUAUCUCCUCCUGGUUGGAGCGGAUUGAGUUCUAAAAAAUCAAUGACAAUGGUCGCAGCUUUAUCUUCAAUUUCCCGUGGACUUAGUUCAUCAAAUAUGAACUAAUUUCCUUCCUACUAGUCAAAGAGCAACGAAGGCUUUGGUUCGCCUAAAAAUUGUGAGAUCGAUUUAAUUCAAUCUUUUCCUUUUAUUUAUUGAUAUCCGCAUACUUCCUGAUUUCUAUGCUCAUGGUUAUUUAAUUAAUUGAUUAUCUUGGAUCCGGAUAACUAAUUGAGUUGGUACCCUAUCGUCAAUUAGGGCAUUAAAUCCGUAAUUGUUUAAUUGUCCUGAAAUAGUGAUAACUGGCACGAUUAGAUUCGUGUCAGGGGGAUACGCGGGCUAAUCUGAAAUAACCCUGGUAGUGCGUUAUUUGGUUAGAAUAGGGCUCCUCUAAUACGUAAGGCAAUUGGGGAAUUAAAUCUUACGGGCGUACCUAGGAUUAUUUCCUAAUUAGAGCAGUGAUUAACGGGCGUAUCUUAAUCACCGACACAGUAAGGAGGAAUUGGCUGUCAUCCCCUGGUUGGCAGUUAUAACCUAUUUAUUGAUAAAUAAUCGGAAUUGCCUUUAUUUUAAUGAUCAAUUAGGUGAACCAUUGCUGAAGUUAUUUCUUGGCUAGAUCUUUAGUUAAUAUUAUCUUGAUUUUAGUGAAGUGCCAUUUGACUUUUAGUUACCUACUUUAUUUUAUUUUUAAUUGUUUCCUUGUUUUAAUUGAUUUAGGCCUUUAAUUAUUGUUAUUCUAAAUUCAGUGAAUUGUGGUUUAAUUUCUAGUUAGUUAUUUAUUUUUAUUUUCUUAUUUGAAUUUAUUUGAUUGCUGUCGUUCCUACAAAAUCACCCCAUGUGUUACUUUGGAUUUCUUAAGAAACAAAUAUAUCCAGUCCCUGAGGAUACGAGCCUACUUGCCCUGUCUACAAAUUCAUAAUUAUUUGUAAAAGAAAUAACCAUCCCAUUCGGGUAUAUCGGAUUAAGCAAACUCUUCGGGAACAGGGAGAAUCAAGUAACCCAUUGCACACCUAGAGUCCCUGCUCCAGUACUUGGAAUUGGGUCUUGGUCAUUUUAACUGGCAAUUAGGUUUAAUUUUAUUAUUGUGCAGGUUUCGACACCCUGUCAACAGGUUGCCGAGUCUGUGCAAUAAUAAUUUUAAUUAUCCUAAGUGCCAACUACGCACUUUCGUGUCAAUUCUAGUAUUGGAGCAAGGACUCUAGAUGUGCAAUAUGUUACUUGAUUCACCCUGGUUCCGAAGAGUUUGCUUAAUCCGAUAUAACAGAAUUUAGUCACGAGAAAUUUAUAAUAUAUAUAUAUAUAUAUAUAUAUAUAUAUAUGGCAAACAGGAUCGUAUUCUCAGGGACUGGAGAUAUUUGUCUCUUUGAAAUUCCAAUCGGCAAUAGGGGGUUUUAUCGAAAUAAAGAUAAAAACAAUUAAGCAAUUCAACCAAAGACAAACAAUUAACUAAUACGAAUGUAGAUAGGAAUUAAAUUAAUAAUAGACAAAUUCUAGCCAAAGAUACAACUUCUCAGACACAGUCCGUUCAUCCGAUCAUUGAUGCAAGGGCGGGUUCACUUAAUUUAUUAAUAAGUUAGUUAUAAUCGCCAACAAACUCUGACGACCAGCUUUUCUUUAGUUUAUUGAUAACCAAGGUACGACCAUUAGUUACCCCUAACCAGGAAACACUCCUAUGUACGACCGUAGGAGUGAAUUCCCUAAUUGCACUAAGAAUUAGAAGAGCCUAACCCUAAUCAAUAACACGCUACGAGGGUUAUUUAGAUCAGAUCGCACGUUCCUCUAGUGUGUAUAAACGCUAGUUGCCACUGAUAUUAAUCGAUUAAAUAAUUAUGGAUUUAAUUGAUUAAUUUGGUAGGAAAUUAACAAGUCACCUUAAAUAUCGGGUCCUAGACAUCCAAUUAACAAAAUAAUUUCAUAGAAAUUCAAGUAAAAAACGUGCAAAUAUCAACGUAUUAAGGAAUGCGUAAAAACUAAUACGAUCUCAUAGAUAUUCGGGACCGCAUCAUCGCAUUGAUUUUUGACCAGAUGAAAAGCUUAACUACACCUCAUGAGAAAAUUUCCACUCAAUUCAAUCGAUUUCAAAGGCAUCUGCCUUUUUCUCUAAUAAUCAAGAAUAAAAAUUGUUUUGCAGUCGACCCCCAAUAGAAAGAACGGAAAAAGAAGCAAAAACGAAAGCUGUCUUCCUAACAAAGGAAUUCCCCCUUUUUCAAGGGAGCCUGUUUGACUCGUUGUUCCCCCUUUUCCGAAUCCCCGGGGACUAAUUACAAAGAAUCCUGUUUUUUUUUUCUUGUUUCCUCCUGGUAACGCACCGCUUGGCCACCAGAAUAGGAAACUGUCUUCCAAUUGGAGUCGGGCUUGCAACUCUUUGUAGAUUUGCACUUCUCGUCCUUCACUUUUCAGAAUCUUGUACUCCAUCCCUGCAAUUGUGUCCAAAUGCCAAUUAUAAGUAGAAUCCGAUAAUUAACAAAAUAUUUGGCACAAAUAAUGAGGGAAAUUAACCAGAAAAUGACUAAUAAUUAUGACCCUAUCAAUUUUUUUAUACUCAUUAGGUUGCUGAGAAGAAGGACCUGCACCUCACAUUUGCCUUUCGUUUUGAAAGAUUCAAGGAAAGAAAAUUUUAUUGUUUUUGGACCAUUUAUCCUCGUAUUUCUGGGGAGCACCCUGCAUCUGCACCUAGGCUCUGUUUUUUUUUUUUGUGAUUUGAGACACUUUGAUGAUUUUACCGUCUAAAGCGUGUAGAAUAAAAAUUAAUUCCACUUCUUACCAUGAUGCAACCAUUGAGUAGGAAAAAUAAAUAAGGACUUUAAGUUAAACAGAAAUUUCCGACAUCACAAAACUGAUUCUGUUAAGAUAUGCUUAUAUUUUAAUUUUCUUAAAUAAAGUUUUUCUUUAUAACUCCACACACUUUUAAUGUAAAGUUAUGAUUAAUGCGCGAUAAUAUGCACCAUUAUAUUGGCUUCUCAGUUAUGCUGGGGAUUUAUUUCCAAACAAAAUAUUAUCAUAGUUUCAGAAAAUGUACAAAAAUUAUGUAAGGGCCAAUUAUGUCUAUAUAUAAAGCCAUCAAAUUCGAACUACCCUGAUGCAAGAACAUAUGAAAAAGAAAACUUGAUAAACUCACACUUCAGAAAACCAAGAGUUCGAAUUAUUUAGCAAAUUGUAGGAUAAAUUAGAUAUAACUCCCCUGAUGCUAGAACAUAUGAAAAAAAAGAGUAGAUAAACUGCACUUUUGGAAACCAAGAGUUUGAGUUAUUUAGCAAAUUGUAGGGUAAAUUGCAUAUAACUCCCCUAUAGUUUUGCACAAUGUCAGAUAAUUCAUCUAAGGUAUCAAAAUAGCCACGUGCUCUAUUUUAUGUAAAGUGGAAAAUAGACAAAAUACAUUAAUUAGUUACGGCGAUUAAAUCACAUGUGCUCUAAAAGUGCGUAUGAUAAAAUUACACUAUUCACUUAACUCUCUUAUGAUUUGCAUAAAUAUCUACUUUACCCCCUCAUGAUUUUUGCAUUUAUCCUCGUAAUCCCCCUACGAUUUUAUAUAAGGUGACUAAUUUGUUGUUUGAUUUAACAUUUAAAUAAGGACACUGCUGGUACUAUGCCCUCGGGGUAAUUUUGGUAUUCAAGUUAUUAUAGAGCAUAGGCUUUGGAUCUUUAUGUCAUCCUUAACCAAAAAAAGGGGCAAGUGUGGAGUAUCUAAAGCUUUUCUGAAGUGCAAAUAUCAUUUGCUUUUUCCAAAUUGACCUCAACUUAGUAAUUAAGUGACAAUGAAGUUUUUACAUUUCAAUACGGUUUCUUAAGCAAUGUACUGAGUAACAUAAUUACUUGGGUAUCUGAUGACAAGUAAGCAACGCAUAUUACCUCCACGUAGAUGUUAUUUUUUUCUACUGCAAGAUUUAGAGCACAUAAAUUCUUCUAUUAAACCGAAAGACUACUUGAUUGUGUCUGGAAAAAAAUCUUUCGUAGUUAAAUUAGAUAGGAGCUUACAACAUCACAAUAAUAAUUUAUUUAGCACGAGUAAUGAGUUGCUUGCUUAGUAUAAGGGAAAAAUACAAGUGAUAAGUUUCUCAAUAGAAAUAAUCUGAAAAAAAAAAAAUUCCCUCGAAAAAGUUGAAGGUAGAACGGCAUUAUCAGAAAGGGCAUUUGGAGGCAUAUCAAAGUGGUGGGCUCACUGCUUCUAAACCUUUACAAUUGGGCCCUAUUUAUGUAGAAUUGUUACAAUUGCUUGAUUCGGGUCCCUGUUUUCCUCAAGAAGAACUAUGUUCUUUCCUCACCUUUAUUUUCUCAUUUGACCAAGAUGGCGUUUGGUUAGAGAGUUUCAGGAUGGAGAAUUAGAAUAAAUCCCAUAAUUAUUAUUUGGAUUACUACUAUCGAAAUCGAGAUUUUGGAAUCAUACCUAAAAAUUUAGAAUUCCUUAAUUCCCUAGUAAUUUGGAGGGUUUUGGAUAAAACCCAACUCUGAUUCCCAUUUGGAAAUGGGAACCAUCCCGCCACCCAUUAAAAAAAUUAAUAUAUAAUAAUAUACAUAUAUAUAAUUAUGUAUAUAAUAUAUAUUAUAAUUAUAAUAUUUAAUUAUAAUUAUAUACUUUAUUAUAAUAUUAGUAUAAUUAUAUAAUAUAUUUAUAAUUAUUAUAUAGGCAUAUAUAAUAUAUUAUAUAAAUAUAUUAUAAUUAUUUAAUUAAAUGUAAUUAUAUUUAUAUACAAUAUAUUAUAAAUUUAUUAAUAUUAUAUAAUAAUAUAUUUAUAUUAUUUAUAUAUUUAUAAAUGUAUAUUUUAUAUGCAUAUAAUUAUAGUAUAUACAUGUAUAUAAUAAUAAUAUAUUAUAUAAUUAUAUUUAUUUUUGUUAUUAUAAAUAUAAUAAAAACUAUAUUUAACAUAUAAUAUACUAUAUAAUAUAUAAUAUUAGUAUAAUUAAUAUUUAUAUAUAAUUAUAUAUUUAUAUUUAUAUUAUGAUGUAUACAUAUAUACAAUAUACAUUAUAAUUAGAAUAUUUUAUUAUAAUAUUAGUAUAUUAUAGAAAUAUAUAUUAUAAUUAUUUAGUUAAAUAUAAUUAUAUUUAUAUAAUAUAUAUUAUAAAUUUAUUAAUAUUAUAUAAUAAUAUAUUUAUAAUAUAUACGUAUAUUUAUAAAUGUAUAUUAUAUGUGCAUAUAAUUAUAAUAUAUACAUGUAUAUAAUAUUAGUAAAUUAUAUAAUUAUAAUUAUAAUUAUUAUUUUAAAUAUAAUAUAUAUAAUUAUUAUUAUAUUUAAUAUAUAAUAUACAUUAUAUUUAUAUAAAAAUUAGUAUAAUUAAAAUUUAUAUAUAUUAUAUACUUAUAAUUAUAUUUAUAUUAUAAAUUUUGUAUAAUUAUAUUUAUUUAUAUAUAUAGCAUUUAAUUUAAUUAGUUACAAACGUAUAAUAAUGAUAUUAUUAGUUAUAUGUAUUAUAUAAUGUAUAUUAACCUAUGUAAUAUAAUUGAUAUUAUCAAUUAUACUAAUAUUUAUACAUAUUUACUAAUAGAAAUUAUUAAUUAUUUAUACUAUAUUUACUAAUACAUUUAUACUAAUAUAUUUAAUUAGUGAAAAUUUCUUAUAUUCCAUUUACAAAAAGUCAACGAACCAAACAUCAACCAUGGGUCGGGCUGUGCACCGGGCCAGUGAAAUGGAAAUCGGUGCAGGCGGUGUCUUGGAACCGCCCUCCGUUGCACCAUGUCAAGUUGAAUACCGAUGCUAGUGUUGCUCACAAACGUGCGUAUGGGGGUGGUUUGCUUCGCGACUCGGACGGCCACUUAAUUUUUGCCUAUUAUAAGGAGUUCGGGGAGUUGGACGUCCUGCUGGCAGAAAGUGCAUCAUUGCUGCAUGGAUUUCAGCUUUGUAGGGACCUAGCCACGGGGCCCCUGCUGGUGGAGGUGGACUCUAAGAGCUUGGUUGAUCUUCUCAAUACGGGAGCGACGUCCCGUUGGCCUUUGUGUAACACGUUGCGUCGCAUCCGAGCGCUGCUUUCCUCACUUUCGGCAACAGUAUCUCACAUCUUUAGGGAGGCAAAUGCAUCGGCGGAUGCGCUCGCUGGGUUGCGGAUGUCGUCGGAAUUAUUUUGCACUUUGCUUCCUCAGCUUCCGCAUUUUGUGCGGGCUACAGUAUGCCUAGACAGCCGCGAGUUCUCUUCCCUGCGUUGGCAACCCGGAUAGGUCUUGUAUCUGUGAUAGGCUUAACUUAUGUACUCCAAUGUUUCAUCCUACCGUGUACUCCUCUGCUUCCAAUCAAUAUAAGUAACUUCGUUUAAAAAAAAAAAAACUAUACAUUUAAAAACUAUAGUAACGAUCUACAUUCCUGGCAUUGAACCAAACAAAUAUAUUGAAAUCAUUGAUUUCAUUUCAAAUCUAGGAUGAAUGAUUCCGAAUCCGAAUCUGAUUCCAAUAUGCGAACCAAAUGCCACAUAAAAGUUAAAUCUCCCGAGGAUAUGGGCCGAGCAAUGACUGCCCAAGAUAGGGAUAAAUAAGCUCUAAUGACCAGGUCGUGAACAUUCUUUUGGUUGCAUAUCUAACAAAUCACCGCUGAAAACCCUAUCAAAAUUAUCUUACAUGGUGUUUUUAAGCUUCAAAUGAAAAUUGAUAAGUUUAUAACUAAAAUUUGUAAGAUCUAUUUUGAUGAAAUUAGCAUAGGAGCAUAAGCGUUGCACAUGGUGGGCAUUUGUUUUAGGAAUACGUACUAAGAUAAUUUUUUAAAAUUAAUUAAAAAGAAUAGAAAUUUAACUAUUUAAAUUUCAUAUUGCUAUCAAUUUUCUCCUCCAACAAAACAUAUAAAUUAUUUGUUUAACAAAACCUUGUCAAUAGUACGCCUGAGUAGCAAAGUAUAGAAAAAGGGGUAGCUAUAUUGCCAAAACAAUUAUGUUCUUGCCAGAGCAAUUUCACUCUAAAUAAUAGUAAUACCCUCACAAACCAAGAGUACCCAUAUUUUGUAUUGUAUAGAUCCACGGAAUAAAACAAGCGCCAAAAUUGAAAACCAAUUUAAAGUGGGAUUUGGCUCAUCUCUAGUUGAUUCUCUCUCCAUUUUUCGAAGUACUCAUCUAGAUGUAUGACACGUAUCUUCAUUUAUUAACAAGAGUUAGGAUUAAUUAAAUUUAAAUUGACCAUGUCCCUUCUUAGUAAUUCAAGACAUGUGUCAUACAUUUAAACUAGUGUGAAUACCCGUGCUACGCACGAUGCUUACGUUAUUGAAAUAAAUUAAAAGAUUAUAGUAUUUUAAUUUGAAAAAAGUUAAAAAAAUUAUGCCAACAUAAUUAAAAUUUAAUAUUUGUCUAACAAUAGUUCAAAGUAUGACAAAAUCAGUAGAUCAUUCAAGAAUUGCGUUUUUGCGAAAGAUGGAUUUUAAAAUAAUAAUAAAAAUUUAUAUUACAAAAUGAAUGAUAUAUGGAUAGAAAUAAAUGUAAUUGCAUGUUUUAUUUGAUUUCAAAAUGAAAUACUUACAAACAUUGUGCAUUCGAUUUAAUAAUCUUGUUCAAAGGUGCAAACAUUUUUUACAUCAAUCAACUUUUUGUAUGAAAAUUAAUAUUGGUGGUUUAAUUAAUUCUAUUAAAUUUUGUAGAGUUCGUACUACAAAAAAAUGUUGAGUAAGACUUGUAUUUCUUGGAAGUGAACUUGCUGAACCUUUUUAAAAUAUUUCAUUGGGAUCACUAUGGUAUGAAAUUCGUUUUGUAAUCAAUUAUUUUUUUCUUUGUAAUCUUGCAGGUUUGGAAUUAAGACGCCAUUGAAAUUAAAUGAUGGAACCAAUGGGGGCUAAUGGAGGCCAUAGCCCUCCUCCCCAAGUUUUAAAAAUUUUAAUUCAUAUUAUAUAAAUAUUUGUGUAAAAUAAAGUUGGCCCUCCUAAUUUUUUUACAAUUUUAGUUUGUAUUAUGAGAAUAUAUAUAUAUAUAUAUAUAUAUAUAUAUAUAUAAGUAUAUAUGUGUGCGUGUGUGUGUGAAUUAACUACAUUUGAAUUAAUAUUUGUACUUAAAAAAGUUAUUUAUUUUUUAUAUCCCUUUAUAAUUAAAGUUAAUAAUUGAUAUUUUUAGAUGUCAUAUAUUUAAAUAGAUGAAAAUUAUUUCAAAAUAAAAUACUUAAAAACAUUAAGCAUUCGGUUUGAUAAUUUUGUACAAAGAUACGAGCAUUUUUUACAUCAAUCAACUUUUAGUAUGAAAAUUAAUAUUGGUGAUUUAAUUAACUCUAUUGAAUUUUGUGGAGUUAAUACUAUAAAAAAAUGUUCAGUAAGACCUGUAUUUUUAGAAGUAAACUUGCUAAACCUUUUUAAAAUAUUUCAAUAGCAUCAGUAUAGUAUAAAAUUCGUUUUGUGAUCAAUUUUUUUCUCCUUUGUAAUCUUGUAGUUUUGGAAUUACGAUGCCAUUGAAAUCAAUGAUGGAACCAAUGGGGGCUAAUGGGGGCCAUAGUUCCCCCUCCCCCAAGUUUUAAAAAUUUUAAUUCAUAUUGUGUAAAACAAAGUUAGUUUUCCAAAUUUUUUACGAUUUUAGUUUAUAUUAUGAGAAUAUAUAUAUAUAUAUAUGUACAUAUGUGUGCAUGUGUGUGUGAAUUAACUACUUUUGAAUUAAUUUUUUCUUAAAAAAUUAUUUAUUUUUUACAUCCCUUUAUAAUUAAAAUUAAUAUUUGAUUUUUUAAAUGUCAUAUAUUUACAUAAAUAAAAAUUAUUUUGAACAUAACACAUAAAAUUAAUUUCGUGAUACUACAAAAAAGUGUUCAGUGAGACCUGUGUUUCUUAGAAGUGAACUUGCUGAGCCUUCUUAAAAUAUUUAAGUGAGAUCACCAUAGUGUAAAAUUCGUUUUGUGAUCAGUUGUUUUCUCCUUUGUACUAUUGCAGGUUUGGAAUUAAGACGUCAUUGAAAUCAAUCAUGGAACCAAUAUGGGCUAAUGGGGCCCAUAGCUCCCCUCUCCCCCAAGUUUUAAAAAUUUUAAUUCAUAUUGUGUAAAUAUUUGUGUAAAACAAAAUUAGUCCUCCUAAUUUUUUAUAAUUUUAGUUUAUAUUACGAGAAUAUAUAUGUAUAUAUGUGUGCGUGUGUGUGAAUUAACUAUCUUUGAAUUAAUUUUUUUAUUAAAAAAGUUAUUUAUUUUUAACAUACCUUUAUAAUUAAAAUUAAAAUUUGAUAUUUUUAGAUGUCAUAAAUUUAAAUAGAUGAAAAUUAUUUUAAACAUAACACAUUAAAAUAAUUAUGUUAGGAAAAAUUUUAGCCCCUCUAGAAAAAAAAUCUUAGUUUCGUCACUGAUUGAAAUAUUUGUAAGUGAGAUUUAUCCAUGGUGAAUGUAUGAUACAUAAUUUUUUUAACUGUAUUUAAUUUAUAUGAUGACAAAUGAAAUGGGUAAAUUAGAUUAGUGAUCAUAAGUUUUAUAAAUGAUUAUGAGAAUAAAAUAUAUUAUGACAAUAAGAUACGUUGAAUUGUGAAAAUUGUAAUUUAAACAGGCUCCUAAAUUUUGGAUAUGUGACUUUUGUGAGAACCCGUAAUUUUCCAUUUUCUAGGUUUAUUAUAUUUUCAAAGGCUUGUUUUUUGCAUUUUCGUGAUUAGAAAAAUUUCUAGAUAUUUUUAAGGAGUAGAUAGAGUUUUUAGGUGAUUUUUCUAGUAUCGAAUAGUUUUUGAGAAAUUAAGAGCUUAUACCAGACGUGGGACCCACUAGUGCGAAAAGUUCGGAAAAAUUCGGCCAACUAGGUUAAGUUUUGGAUACUGGGUUUAAAUUAUCGGGUGUUAAGAGAUAAGUAGAGGUUGCUAUUUGGAUUGGUUUGAGAGGAAACAAAAAGGAUAGAGAUGCAUUAAUUAGGUGACAAGUGUCACUUGGCUAUUGGAUUGAACUUUUGACUACUAUUCCAUGUCUUACCAUUUGACUUAAUAAACUAAAACUUUACCAAAAAUUACUCCAUUUGCAAGCUCAAAGGGCCGGCUCUCUCAAGCAAGGAAAGAAAGAAAACCUCUUCAAUUUCUUGAUUCCCUCUUGCUCAAAUCCAAUCACUCAACCAUCUACUCUUAUUUUUGUUCCAUAGAAACCCUUAAGGGAGUGGUUGUGAGUUGUUUUGUGGAGUUAUUUGGAAAGCUAAAGUGGUUAAUUGCUCUCUCUCUUGUUUUACCAAGGUGAGUGGUCAAGGACUCCUUUCCUCCCUCUAAUAAUGUUUAAUUCAUGCUUGGUGAUAGUAUGAGAUGCAAGUUUAUGGAUUAAUCUUGAUUUUUGGUUGAAUUGGUGAAGUUUUAUAAUUAUUGGUGACUUUUCUGAUUUAAUAUGAAUAUGAUUAUGUGGGCAUGUAUGAUGAUUGGAAUUGGUAUGUAAUGAAGCUAGGAGGUGGAAAAAGUGGUUAAUUGUAAGAAAUUUCUGUUUUGGAAGAAAAUUGAAAAACUAGGGUUUCAAAGUUAUACAUUCUGCCCGGUUUUGUAACUCAUGGUUAGAGGCCGAAUUGGUUUUGGGUUAAAACAUGAAAGUUGUAGGGAAUGCUAUUUUAGGGGUGCCUACAAAAUUUCAGGUCAAUCGGAGUAGCGUAGCUUGAGAAAAGUCGAAAUUACCCUUGCUGUCCUGGUUUUACCCGAAUUUGAGAAUUGCGUCUGUAAUUGGUUAUUUUGGUUAGGAAUGCUUCAGAAUUGGUUGUUGAGGUCUUCUGAUAAAAUGUAUCCCUAUUUCUAAGCUUUCGGAUGGCUUUGGAAUUACUGGAUUUGGACUUAGGUAGCUUGUUUUAUGAUGUUUACACCAGAAUGCGUUUUGUGAAUCUGUUUUUCCGGUUCUGGUGUAGUAUCUUGCAUUUUUGACCUUGUUACACUCGAAACUGGACAGAGUUGCCUUCUGGAACAUUGUAGCCCUAUCUCUUAGCUUCGAAACGGUAGGUCUUGCACCUUCAUCUGAUAAUCGUAGUGCCUUUGGUGCCAUUACCGCAAGAUGAUGUCAAAAACUGUUUUUUUGGUUUAAAGUUUAACUUUCAUUUCCGGACUUUUCCCUAGCUUGAAUUGUACCUGUACUACUUGGAGCUUACUGAAUGACUAUUGAAUGAACUUAUUUUGUGUGUGCCUUUGGGAGUGAUUGAGGAAAACAAAAGAAGCCUUGAUGGCUGGAAAAGUAAAGAGAGACAAGGGGAAGUGCUGUCCAAAUGUUUGCAAGAGCUUCUGCGCAGUCUCGGGAGAUUUGCUAUAUCUUGAUGUAGAAAUGUUGGAAUUAAGUUCCGUUUGUUGCGUUUUAAACUAGAUUCAUAGGGCUAUAAACCAUGAAAAUCUCAGAUCCUGUUUCUAUUUUUCCAAUUUAUGGUGAUUUUUCAAAGUUGACUAAAAUCUUGUACCUGUUCUGUCCUCCACUGGAUAAAGCAAUAACUUGCGGCUUGAAUUCGACUGACUUACAUUCUAAGUCUUACAAUAGUGUUUUCUGGAAAGUUAUAGCCUUUUGAAUUUAUUUUCCAACGGUAUAACUUUUAUUAAUUUUGGACUUACAAAACUUGAGAUAUGAUUUUUCAUAUAAGGUCGCGCGGAACUGGAAAAAUUCUGUUUUCCUAGUAUUGAUCUUGCUUUCAUUAUCUACUUCAAAUUUGGAUUUGGUCAGUCAUUGUAGGAAGGGCUUUGAGGUUGUUCAUACUUUUAAGACUAAUUGUUACCUUUUCACUCCGAGGUCGCCUCUUUACUUUGCAUUAAUGGUUCGUUUGACUAGGCAUAUGGCUCGUAACCGAGUCUCACUUGCGAAUUCCAUACUCAGUCUUGGAGUCGAGUCUUAAGUGUUUGCCUUGAUUGUUCUAGGAGGUAACGACGAGUGAAGCCACACUUGGGAAGGAAACUUUUGAAAUUAUCCUUGUUUAAUCAGGUGAGUGUACCACUCCCCUGAGUUAUUGUUAAACUGGUUUUCUGUACUUGCAACUUGCUACUUGAAUAUCUUUCCUGACCGUUUAUCUUGUAUGAGACGAGGGUGUACUUUAUCACACUCGUUUGCUUGCCUGUACUGAACAAACUGGAAUCUGUUACUUGUACUUGUUAUGUACUUGAAUUUGUUACUUGCACUUGUUAUUCGAUCGUUUGAAAGUGUGUCCACGAUCGUCCUGUUAAACUUGAUCGUCCUGUUAAACCUGAGCUCAACCUCAUGGGGAGUUAAUUAAAUCGAGCCAUGCAAGGGUCUGGUCGAGAAAAUUGACAAUCCGUGGGUGCCUGUUUUUAUGGAAUCUUUGAGUAUUGAGACUCUUGAUUACGGUAUACUCGAGUAUUACCAUUCCUGUUUUAUUUGGCGUUCGGGCCCGGUAAGGGGUAUGAAUGGUGAACGGGAUUCGGCGUUAAAGCGGUGUUCUACUGGAUUGGUUUUCUUUAGUUGGAAGUUGAUGGAGGGUCAACGUAGUCGGAUCAAGUACUGCAACGGGAAAUUGGCUCCUGAGAGCCAUCUGUAUCCUUUCUGUCUAAGUUGUUUAUAUAUCUCCUUAUUUGGUACACCUAUGUGAUUAAUUGAGCAUGAAAUUCCUUGGUUCUUGACUGUUAUUAUUUUUGGUACCUCAUUGAGCUUAUAGCUCACCCCGUUUUGUUAUCCUUGUUUUCCUUACAGAAAAAUCUUUUGGGAACAAUGAUGUUUGGAAGCAUGAGUUGAGCUAGAUAUAUAUUCUUUUGUAUAGCUCCUCAAGAGAUAUAAACCUUGAAUGUAUUUCGAUCCAACAACUCCCUUUUUUAUUUGUAAAUUUGCAAUCAUGUAUUUAUAUAUAUAUAUAUAUAUAUAUAUAUAUAUAUAUAUAUAUAUAUAUAUAAGUGUUUAAUCAUGUACAUGGGUUACCCCGAUCAAACGUGUUCAUUCUUUACACCUACAUGGAGUUUAAUGAAAUUACUGAGAUUUUGGACGAGUAUAGUAUUCAAGUGCGAAAAGAAAAAAAAAAUCUAGCAGGGAUUUCGACAAUAUUAUGGGUUGGUAAGUUACAUUUAACUUGGAGGUUUCCCAAUCGUUCGUUUUCUUUGGUUUCUUUCACGCGUGCUACAGAAGUGGGAGUGAUUCGACCCCGUAGUCCCGGCGAGAGUUGGGCAGGCGGUCCGCCGAACCCUUUGGUUCGGCUUAGGGGGAGGUGGGGCUAUCACAACUUUCAUAGUUGCGAAUUUCUUCAAUUAACAGUUAGUUAUUACUAUCAAUGAUGUGGUAAGUGUCAGUAAUAAAUGUGAGACGUGAAUUGAAAUUUACAGAUAUCAUUUUACAGGGGUGGUUAUUAUCUGUUAAUUAAAGUUUAGGAGUUUUAAUUUUAUGGAUUAGUGGGGAAAACUUGGGGAAAAUGUGGGGGAAAUGUGAGGAAAACGUGAGUAUGAUUAUAGGAUUUGUGGGAGUGAUUAUAGAAUUUGUUAAGAGAUAAACAUUUCUUAAUUAUAAAAAUAUAAAAUUCUAUUAAAAUAGCAUUCAGACUUUUGACAAUUUUGAAAGCUCCUUAUCCAAAACCCCCUCUGCAAUACAUAUAGAUAUAGAUGUGUAUUAUACGAAAUGAAAAAAGAACUCACUAGAGAGGAACCAAAUCCAUCUAAAAUUAUGUCAGCAAAUUCUAUCAUAUUUUGUAUUGUAGAUUCACAAUUAGAUGAUUAAUCAUUUUUAUAGUUGAGAAGGGCCAAUCUGACAUCGUCUUACAAAUUUGUUCAUUUUUCGUUAGGUAAGACUUGCAGCUUGCGCGCGUCCUAGUUUUUGCAAGGAGAACCACGUUGUUGUUAUUUGUUACCCUUACUUUCUCAUUUGGUUAAAGUUAACUAAGCCUUUGAUAGCAUGUGUGAUGAAAGUGGGGCAUGACUUGAAAAGAUUAUUAACUAACGGUUAAUAUCCUUAACCUAUAAAAGACUAAUUGAGACAUGCUUUUCUGUAAAAAAUCAUAAUCGCAACUUUUGGAAGUUCUGUAAAGAGGAUAACAUACUCAUUUAUAGUCUUAAUAUACUAGCACAAAGUGUUAUCAAGUAGUAGUAAAGAGAAUUUGUCCAUUGAUUCGCAAUAAAUAGACGGCGAAUUUACCCUAAAGAGAAGCGAAAAUAGAUUACGAGUUCAAGUCCAUUCUCAUCAAUUUAUCACAAUUAUUCAGAACAAAUCAUAGUUGAAACAAGUGAUGAAAUUUGGACCUUACAAGAUCAAUACAAUGUGGGUUGAGGUGAGAGGGAGUCCAAAAUGUCCCACAAACAUUAAAUGAGUCACUUUGCAGCUUGAGAGGAGCUUAUGGGCCUACGUAUCGUCCCUUAAAGCCCUGUUUUUCAGGACGCUGUUGAACCCCUUUUUCUGUUUGUUUUGAUAGUUUUAAUAUUUAAUCAUUUAUGUGUUUCUUUUGUUUUAGGCCUGAUGUUGGCAAAAUGUGAUUCCUGUUUUAUUCAAUUAAAUUUCAUUCAUGGUUUUAGAAAAAGAGAGAUUACUUUUUUCGUUCUUCCAUCACGAAGAAUUCAGUUAGUUGUUCUUUUUUUUAACCAUGGAAAUCUCCAAAUCUCUUUUUUUUUUCUUUUGAUUAUACGUUAAUUAACCCAAAAUUCAUUGUACUAGUUGUCUAGGUUCACUUGAGACAGAGUACAAAUAAAGGCAUUGACCUAUUGUACAAUUGUAAAAUGGGAUAAUUUCAGAAACCUCCCCUGAGGUUUCUGACAGUCUCACUCUUCUCCCCUGAACUUUGCAAAAUAUCAGAUAUCUCCCUUGUCAGAUUAUUGGGCCUUAUUUGUGAUAUCAUUGGUGAUGAAUUGACAGAUAUACCCUCAUAACUUAUGAUAUAUUUUGAAGCUAUUUUGACAGAAUUAUUUAAAUGAGUAAUAGAGAUAUAACUUAUGAUAUACCUUCUAUUCCACUUUACAUUUUUUAUUCGUAGUACAAUCACCAAUGAAGAGUUUAGCACUAGUGUUAACUUUUUCUAAAGUCAUGUAUUUCAUUUUUUUUUGUAAGACAAUUAUCUAGUGUACCUCAUUACUUAUAUUUGGGUAAAUUUGGUUUUCAAAAAAUCAAUGACGUAAAUUGUACAUUACAUCAUCUCAUAAAGUAAUGCGACACAAUUUGGAUUAUUGAAUUUUUUGAAAAUCGAAUCUACCUAAGUUCUGGUAUUCAAACGAAGCUUGUUGAAUAAAUUCGACUAACUACAGUGUGAAUUAAUUUUUUUUUAAAUCUCAACUAAAGUAUCUAGCACUAAAUGAAAUGAAGUAUCUUGCUAGUUCAUUUCAUUUUCCACAGAGAAAAUCGCAAAAAGAAUUAUUAAACUAUUGAGAAUUUGGUUAUUUGAUCGUUACACUAUUUAUUUAACUGCAAUUGCCAUUCACUCAAUUAACCAAAUAGUGAAAAAAUUUUUGUGACUUAACUAGUAAAGAUUUAUACUUUUAGUCACUCAAAUAAUAUUUUUUAUGACUUAACUAAUAAAAAUUUGUACUUUUAAUCACUCAAAUUAUAAAACUAUACAUUUUUUUAUAUCACCAGAAGUAUGUUUCAAUUAAUUGAAUGAUCAUAUUAGCUAAAUAAAUGUCUAAUAGCUAAAACAAAAAAAUAUAAAUAGCAUUGUAACAUUGCUUGAAGAAGCCAUCUGCAUUUGUCUCUAUUUGGUUCAACUUAUUACUUCUUUUUUUUUUUUUUUGCUUUUGCUUUAGCUCAAGUUGUGGAUAAGCAAAAAGGGCAUAUGCGGAACACAAAUAUCAUCUCACUCCUCAAAAUAUUUUUUUAAUGCUCAUUUUUCUGACAUGGGCUCAUCUUGUUACUCCAACUAUAAGUUCAGGGGAGGUAUCUGAUAUUUUGCAAAGUUUAGGGGAGGUGAGUGAGACUGUCAGAAACCUCAAGGGAGGCUUCUGAAAUUAUCCCUUGUAAAAUUUAUACACAUUUUCUCUCCAAUUUGGGUAAUUUAUCCCUAGCUCUAUAUAUCAUCUAAAACAUAUGGUGUGGAAUUCAAAAAUGGAAAAUUAAAUAUUCGUACAAACAUAUCACCUUUAAAGCUCUUUGGGGAAUCAAUAAUUUUACUAAUGCCCUUUCCAGCAGUUGUCUCAAGCAGCCGAAAACCAAAUUGCAGACAUCCUUCUUAAACGAACUUAAGUCCCAUACUUUCAUUCUUUGCAAAAAUUCUCCAAUUUGAAGAAGUAAAAUAUGAUUCUGAAAAUUUAGCAAAUCUCAAAAUUGGAUAUCCUAAAUCCAAACCUAAGAAAAUGGAGUACUAAUUCUAUCCUGAUUAAGCCACGUAAUGCCUUUUGCAAUCCCCAUUACAAUUUUUACCGUAAACCUGUUUUGGGCAGAAAAGAAAGUGUUGUUAUUACUUUACCCCCUUAAACUAUAUUACUACUAUCAGUUUACCCCCUAAUGUUAUUUUUUAGUUACUUCACCCGCAUAAGUAAUUCAACUUAACAUGUUAAGAAAAUUUGGAUAAAAAUACCCUUUUAUUCUGUAGCAUUACUACAUUGUUAUUGUUACUUUAUUCCUUUAAAUUAUAGUAAUAUAAUUGCUUUAAUUCUUAACAUUAUUUCUAGGUAUUUUACUUCAUCGUUAAUCUAACUAGUAUGGUAAAAAUUAGAUUUUGCAAAGAAAAAAUAAAGAAAAGUCUAAUAUUAUUGUAUUAAUUUAAGAUUAUUGGGAUUAGAAUUGAAAUCUGGUGGUAAACAGUAAAGUGAAAUAAUUUUAAAAUAAUAAAAGUAUUUAAUUCUUUCUUAUUUGUAAUUUUUUUUAAAAAAAAAGAAUUGAGCUCUCUUUCAAUCUCUCUCUCCCUCUCUCCCUCCCCCUCACCAUCUUUUUUUUAAUAUUAAUAAGAUUGUCAAGAAGAAAGAAAUUAAUACUUUGACUUUUUUCUUGAUACUAAAAAGGAGAAGAGUCACUCUAAAUUUUUUAUUAUUUUUAUUAUACAAAGAGAAGAGUACUUUCUUCUAAAGUUUUUUAACUUGCUAAGUUGGUUUAAUGGUGGGAUAAAUUAUCUAAAAAAUAAUUUUAUGGGUAAAUUGAUAAUUAGACCAUAGUUUAUGGGGGUAAAGUGAUAAUAACUUUAAGAGUAAACUUGUCUUUUCACUUUAAUUAACAAACUCCGUUAAGUUGGACGGUUAGUUUUGGGGGUAAAGUGACUAAAAGAUAACGUUAAGGGGGAAAUUGAUAAUGACAUCUAACGUUAAGGGAGUAAAGUAAUAAUAACCCGAAAAGAAAUGAUCAUAGCGGUUUCCAAAUUGGGCUAUCAUAUUCUUCCAAGAAUCAUGAGUUCAAACAUAAAUUGUUAAUCAAUGCUAUCAAAAUGAUGGAGUUUGAACCUCAAAUAGAAAAAAAAAAAAGAAAGAUAACAAAGUUCCUUGAUGGCAAAUUGACACAUGUUUGAAAAGAAAUAGCACACAACCAUCAUUAAAUUCAGAAAAAUGAAAUUACACAAAAUAGGCCAACAGCAAAAUAUCAGAAUAAUCUCAUUGAUUGUUUCCACCAUAUUUUGACAAGAAAAGAGCCAUCGAUCCUUUCAACUUUUACCUCAAUUUUCCACAAAAGCACCAAAGAAAGCCAGACCACGCAGAUGACCAAUUACAAUCUCAAGAGGAAAAACCAACCGAAGCACUCCCUGAUGAUAUCAUCAAGAAAAAAACAGAGCAAUAACUAGUUGUUUGCUCAUCAAUUUCAAUGUGCUCGUGCAUGCAUUACAGGCAAUUGAAGUCCAAAAAAGCUACCAAAAGAAGCUACAAGCCAAUUAACAGUAAUGACAAAAAAAAAAAUUACCAGAUAUUGAACCAGCUGAUGCCCUUCAAUCUAUGAUGAUGAUCUUCAGAUUCUCAUUUCCAUAAUUUUUUUGUGCUUCUUCAAUUUCCCGUGCCAAAGAUUUGACACCAUCUACACAACGUAGCACUCUAAUUGUUUCAAGAGUUGAUAUACGGCCUAAACAAGCAGGCACCAUUUCCAAAUUAGAAAUUCCGUAGAGAUUUAAUUGCUGAAGGCACGGGAAGUAAUCAUCACUGUCAGGGUCUGUCUGUGCCCACUCCAUAACCUUUACAUCUUCUAAUGUCAAGACCUUGAGUUUAGGGAAUCCUCCUUCCAUCAGCUCCCAUUUUUGGCCCUCCAUUGACCACUGUCUUAAUUUGAGGACUUCAAGAUUGGGUAGUUGUUCAAUCAAUGACAUUUUUCUACAGGGAAGACCCAGAUUGAAAAGACACAACUUCUUCAAAUUCAUGGGAAAAGAAAGCUCCACAUAUUCCAGCGAAUCAAAGGAGCCGUGGCCAUCUAAGGUGAGUGAUUCUAGGCAUACUAGUCGACUCAUGUUGCAGCAUACUCUAUUUUGUUGCCGCACAUAUAAAAUUUUAAGUCGGCGAACGUUGAGAAUCCUUCUCAAUAUGUUCUCAAUGUCACGAUAAAGAAACAGAGUAGAGAGUGUGUCUAAAUUGGGUAAAGUAGAGAGGUUUUCAACAACAUUGUCGUUGGAAGACAGACGAAUAUCAAAAACGGGUCUUACAUGUACAUGCAUCAACUUCUUCAUGUUCCAGAUGCUAUCUGGCAAUGAAACAACCGCUGUAGAAUCCAGACAGAAGGUUUCCAAAUGUGAGAGCUUGGCUAUAGAUGGUGGAAUGAAUUUCAUGCGCUCUGCUUCAAGGGCUAAGUACCUUAAACAAAGAAGUGAUUCGACUUCAGUUGGAAGCUCUUUCAGCCUUAGGUUAAUGCCCUCUAACUUCAGAACUUUAAGAUGUUUGUAGAUGUAAAAAAGGAAGGAGAUGUUAUGGAACUGAAACUCAUUAUAUCCUGGAGUACCAUCAACGAAUAGAGUACCUAAAUAUGGGCAAAAUAGCUUUGACUUCCUAAAAUCUUCUCCACUGGAGCAAAUGGACAACCGAGGUAGGUUGGGAGGCUCAUUAAAGGUAGAAAGCUCAUCAUAUCCUCGCAAAACCUGAAGAAAAUUCUUUUCUUUCGCCUCGCCCUUACAGAACUCAAAUAUCAAAUCGUGAAUGUAACAAGUUUUGACUCCACCAAUGGAUCUGCUUUUACUUACCAUAACUAAGUUUCGACCAAUAAGGUCCAUCAGAUAUUCUUCUGCAAUGCCCUCUGAUCUCUUUCCUUCAAUUUUUUCCACAAACCCUUCUGCAAUCCAGAGACGCAUCAAAUUCUCCGCACUAAUUUUUUCAUCUUCUCGAAAUGCAGCAAAAUACAGCAGGCAUGCCUUCAAGUGAUAUGGUAAAUGCUCAUAACUGAGCUCCAACGACUUCUUGCACUGGUCUGUACCAGACACCAUGGUUAAAGUUAAACUUUUAGCAAAUUUUUCCCAAACCCAAAUAUCAUGCUCUAUAGUUGCUAGGACCCCAGCUACAACAACGAGUGCAAGUGGCAAUCCCCUGCACUUUUCGGCAAUCUCCAUUCCCAACCCAUGCAAUGCUUGAGGACAAUCUUCUUUUCCAAAAACCUUCUUCUGCAGUAAUUCAAAACUUUCUUUCUCACCGAGCGGGCGAAGAUAGUGAGGUUUCCCCCCAUAUUCAACCUGUGAAGCCACAUUAGAAAAUCGGCUCGUGAAGAUGAUUUUACUUCCUUUCUUGUCAUCCGGGAAUGAAAUUCUCAGCUCAUUCCAUACCUUAAUGUCCCAGACAUCAUCAAAAACAACAAGAUACCGAUUCUCCUUUAGCUUUUUGUAGAGCUUUUCAAGCAGCGCAUGUUCAUCCAGAUUUUGAAACUCAUCAUCCAUCCUGGAAUGUUUGCCUUCAGAGCACAAAAUUUGAAGUAACACAUUUUUCAUGUUAUAGGCUUGAGAAACAGUACACCAAAGACGAAUGUGGAAGUUACAGAUUACUGAACUAUCAUUGUAAACUUUUUGGGCUAAAGUUGUCUUACCAAGCCCAGCCAUUCCCACAAUGGGAACAAUUUCCACAUGUUCUGGUCCCCAUAUAAGUCGUUCAAUUACUUCUCCUGCCUCAUCAUCAAGACCAACCAUGACUUCAUGGGCUAUUGGCAUUUUACCUUUUGAUAGCAUGUGGCUGGAAGUCUUGCUAACUUCUGGCGCUCUUAAGCUAUGAAAGGAAGGAAGACUUUCAAUAAUGCUUGAGCCACUGAUCUGAUCCUUAAAAUGCUUGAUAUGGAUGUUGGUAUUAGCCAGCAUAUCAUAACAGUCAAGGGCCUCUGUGGAUUCUGAGAAUCUAACUUCUCCUUCCUUCACUCCGUUUAGAGAGGGCGAGCAAAUUAUAAUGCCUGCCUCACUAAGAAGAGCACCAAUUUUUUCGUUUUGCUCAUCCAUCUUCUCCUGCAGCUCCCUUAAAAUGCUUCUCAAAAACCUCAGUCCUGCAUAGAGUAUUCGCAUUUCAUCUUUCAUAGAAUCCACAAAGCUAGAGCUGCAGCAUAACAGCUCCCAGAGACAACUUAUCAGAGAAUCAUUGAAGUUGUUCAAUAUCUGCUUAUCCAUCAUUCUAUCAUGCAAUGAUUUUGAGGACCUUGUAGCUCUAAGAACUUCCAUGUGAAUCCCAAAGACUUGAAAAUCAACAGCUGUGAUUUUCUGUUGUUGCUCAUAUAUCAUGGAGCAGAACUCAGGAUUGUGCCGUUCCUCAUCAUCCCAAAAAGAACACAUGUAAGAGAGGCGUGCUGCGUUCAAAGCCAUCACUUCAAAGUGAGCCAAUAGCAAAGCAGGAAUAUCUGCAGUUCCUCGCAAUUUGGCAAAGGGUAUGAAGCUUUUCAAGAAUGUUAGCUUUUCUUCAAGGGCUUGGAAUUGAGCAAUAACUUGGGGAUCCAUAUCAAAAAUACACAAAUCGCUAGUUGUUAAAUCCGCUAGAUUUUGUAGAAUAAGGUCGAUAAAUUCUAUUAGUUCAUCAGCUGGCAUGCAAGAAUUUGAUUCCAAUGAUCUGCUGCUCGCCAAAGUGAAGUAAACUUGGAUGAUUUCUUGCUUAAAUGAUUUGAUUUGUUUCAACAAUUUGGGGAACACUUCAUUGCCAACAUAACGUACGUCACGUGCAUCAGAUUUCAACACAAGGAAAAGAGAGUGAACGGUAUCUUCAAUGCAAGAUAAGAAAGAUGGAAGACUCACCUUCUUCACUACAUUAUCAGAUUCCAAGUACAAAUCAUUGCAGUGGCUCCACUUUCUUGCACAGAUAACAAAUGUUUUGAGAAAUUUCAUGCGUUUGAUUGCAUCACGAACACGAUCAAGUAAGACCCGAUCAUGGUAAGGAUCAUCCCGGCUUCGGAAGCUGUUCAGGAGCAACUCUAGAUCAAGUAAGACCCGAUCGAUGCUGCAAGUGGAGACCAUCUCCAUCUCUUAUGCAGGGAUUUUGGUCUCAAAUUUUAAGAGAGAAGCAAAUCUCACUAAUUGCAGAGCCAGCAAGUAUUUCUUUCCUGAGAAUUACUUCUUUGCUUUUCUUCUUCUGAAGAGUAUUGAGACAAUCAAUUAUUGGCAACAAGGUGGAAUCGGCAUCGAGGUGGACCCGAGACACUGAUACUACUACAACUAGGGAGUUGGGCAUCUGAGGAUUUAAAAGAUACUACAAUUUUGUCAUUUUAGCAAAAGUUAGUGUGAAAAUAAAUCGUGGGUCAUUAGCAAUAUUAUUUGCUCAUGUCUAAUUACAAAAGGAAGUUGAUAAAAUUAGUUGACUCUGUUGUCAACAUUUUAAUGGGGAAAUUUGGUAUGGCAAUCUCUCAUGAUUACAGAGAAAUGCAUUAUUGGAACAUUUUCUAAUGUUGUCUAAAUCCGCUAGAUUUUGUAGAAUGCGGUCUAUAAAUUCCAUUAGUUCAUCAACUGGCAUGCAAGAAAUUGAUUCCAAUGAUCUGCUACUUGCCAAAGUAAAGUAAACUUGCACACAUAACAAAUGUUCUGAGAAAUGUUAUAACGAGAGAGAGCGGUCAAAAAAAGAUGUGUAACUAAACCCACACUAGUUGCUCAUCCCUUCCAUCACACCCCUAUAUAUAUAUAUAUAUAUAUAUAUAUAGUGUCAAAAUGACAUACGUUGUCCUGCGUGGUGAAAUCUUCAAGCUAACUCUCUAAUUUUCUUUCUCGAGCAAACCUCUAAAUUUGAUCACUUUCUCUUCUAAUGUUCUCGUGUUAAUAAUCAUGACCAUUGAUCUGGGAGAUUAAUAACCAUGACCAACAAAGUAAAGAGUCCGAGAAAAAAAAAUUGAGGCUUCUUCAACCCUCGAGAUUGUGGAAAUAGAAAAUUUGGAAUUUCAACAAUUACCAGUAUCAUAAUAAAUACGCAUUAUCAUAAUAAAUAUAAACGCUAAGAUAAUAAAUAUAAACAGUAAAACGAUAAUGUACAAAAUUAAUGUUACCGGAGUGCAUUAGUGUUACCAAUAUACAAUCGUCAAAGAAAAUGACUAAGGAAGUAGAUGAGGAAUUAUGAGAGUUAGCACGGCGGCUAAUCAAUGCGGAUUUCAGUAUAGAAUCAGGAAACUUAAAAACGAAAUGUAAUUGUUUAAGGAUGCAGAAAUGUAUAGUCCUGCAUGGGCUAGUUUUGUGCUUAAACAGAUGUCUAGCUGUUCAGGAAAGGUGAUUGGUUCGUGUUUAUAUGCUAGAAUAUAAGUGCUGGAAAGAUAUUUGUCAUGUUUUAUAUAUACGCUUCAGCAGAAAGUUUUUUGGAGCUUAGUAUAGCAAUAUUUUUUUUUAAAGCUUAGUACAGCUUAGAGUCAGCCGAAAGCAAUUAAAUUUUAUACCACACGAACAUUGGCAAAGAUGCUUUAACCUAACCCUCCUGAAUAAUUAAUGAGCAAGUUCAAUGAUUAUGUCCCACAAGAUUGGCAGAUCUUUAAACUAAAAUUUAAUUGACACAGGGGGAUGGGCAGGGACAGCCGCCCUGCAAAAGUUUUCAGAAUUUUAAAAUCCUUCCUAUAAUUCUAGUUGUCAACUAAAAUUAUAUUAUUUUGGCUCUCCUAAAUAUAAUUAUAAGUAAAUUUUAUUUGUUAUUUUGUUUAAUUUCUUUUGAUAAAGGGUCCUAUACCAAACUAACAAUUAACUUCCUUAAAAAUGUAUAUGAUUGGUAUGUACUUACCGUACGAUUAGUAUUACUUUGAAUAAUAAUUCCUGUUUGGAUUGCUAUUUCUAAGAGUUUUUGUAGAAAAAAAAUAUAUUAUAACAAUUUGAUGUAUGUGAGGUAAAAAAGUGAUUGAAAAAUAUAUUCAUGAAAAACGUAAAAAUUUUUCUGUGAAAAAUCACAAUCCAAACUUUUUUAACCAAAUUUCUUAUAACGAACGUACUAUUAGUUUGUUUGAUUACUAUAACUUUAAAAUAGCAACAAAGAUAACAAUGUACACGUUACAUAGGAAAUCAAAGGAAAAAAAAUUCAACUAUCCUAUAAAUUGAAGAAGUUCAACUAUGAUUAUGAAUGCGUCACAUUCAUAGUAAAUAUAACAGUGUAGAGUCUAAUUUUUAUAUUUUCCUUUAUAUUUUGUCUUUAUGUUUUAUAAAUUUCUUACUCCUAAUUAUAAUUUAUUGAACUCUCAUUUUACAUUUAGUAUUUUUUAUUUGCUACUGCAACGGGCUCUUGGAGGCAUAUGUAAGUGGUGGGCUCACUGCUUGUGAACAAUUUUUAUUUUUUUUUUCCAAAGUGAAAAAGAGAGCUACAUAAAUUAAAUUACAAAUGAGUCAGACUCAAUCAUUUUAGGAAAUUUAAUGCUUCUUACAUCUUCCACACAAAUAUUCCCAAAUAGAUUAGGUGGUUCUACAUGCAAAGCAAACUCUUCCAAUUGGUUAUAUCCUAGAUUUGCCUUGAAGACCGUAGUCCUCUUUGCCUAUAUGUAGAUAUGCUUAAAUGUGACCAACUGAAUUUGGCAGAGUAAAACUCUCCGCCAAUCACAACGCUAGGCCCCAAAUGAAGAUAUUCAGCGGCAACAGUAACAGAGAAAUUGAUUAGAUUUUUGCGUCUAGAAUCCUUUGCAUGAUAAAGUCAAGGAGUACGAAUGAUAAAAUAGGGAAAUCCCAAGUGCUAGAGCUAGUGUUAGAAAACACCUCCUUCACUAAAAUGUUAUCUUCUCCUAGAGACAGGGGUCCAUGAAUGAUGUUAUGAAAAAAGGAUGACCUAAAAAACAAUUUUUUAUAGUACUACCACAUCAUAAUACUAUACCUCAUAAAAAUAUAAAUUUAAAAAAUAAAAAAAAUUGAAAAGAAAUACACUUGCAUCAAUUUAACUCUAUUUGUUCAAAACUGGUUUCUUAUGAAUUUAUAUUGUUUCCAACAUACCUUUGCUCAAACCAUUAAAUUGUACCAAUCAAUAUAAAAAUCAUCUCAAAAUAAGCAAAUAAAUCAUACCCCACUUUAUCAUAGUCACAAAAGUAAAAGAUAAACAUAAUUCAAUUUAUUAUAAUUUACAAAUAAAAUAUUGCAUAGUCAUCCAAAAAAUGAGUAAGAGAGAAUGAUGGAAAAAGGGAAAAAGAAGAAAGUGACUUUUGUUUCUUUUUUUAAAAAUUUUUGAGUUCCAUUUAUUUGAUAUGUUGUAAAUUAUAUGUCAAGUGAGGGUUAUUAUAAUCUUUUCACAAUUACUAGGAGAGAUAAGUGACAUUUCUAAAACCUCAAGCGUGCCAGGUAAUAUUAAGAGAAAUCUUAGAGGAGGUUUCUGAUAUUAUCCCAUUAUUUCGCUAAUUUCCUUUCCAGCAAUUAACUCAAGAAACAGAACACCAAAGUUGUAGACACCCUUCUUAAUCGCGCGGUCUCAUUUGUCCAAGAGUCAUGAGCUCAAACAUAAAUUGUUAAUCAAUCGUGUCAAAAUGAUGGAGUUUCAAAAAAGCUAAGAGCUUCUUGCCUUGGUGUUGGUGUAUUUUAAUAAAAUCUUAAUUUUUGGAUAAAUCUUUUCAAGGAGUUACAAUAGUAUUCAUUGGUGAGUUAUGUAAAUUGUUAUUGUGGGAGUUACAUUGCAUUUUGAAUGGAGUUAUAAUUGUGAGUUACUUUUUUGAAUAAGAGUUACAAAAGAAUUAUUUGGUAUUGUGGGAGUUACAAAAGAAUUUUGAAUAAGACAUUAUGUAUUAUUGUGGGGGUUACAAAAAGAUUAUUUGAAUAACUGUUACACAUUAGUUUUUCUUUUACUUAAGAUUUUGUAGCCUAUAAAUAGUGGAGUUCUCAAAAGGUUUUGAAACACUUCUUCUCACAACAAAAAAUCACUCUAAAAUACUAUCCUCCUCACAUUUAUUUCUUUCUCCUUCAUUCUGUUUUCUUUGGGCAAAGAAGGAUAUUGGGAAGCUUCUGCUUCUCUUGGUUGUGCAGAUCAAAGAGAAGUAACAACUAUAGAGUUGGGCUGUUGUAUCCUGGAGGCGGCGCGCUAGACCUUCUGCAUCGGUUUGAAAAGCACCGUAGGGGCGCGUAUCGUCUUAAAGAGAGCGUUCUACGCGCCUCAGCCCUACCGAACUUCUUAGUAGCUGUCAAUUCCAAGGUGGUUAUUUUUUGAAGAUCAGAGAUUGUUCGUGUACUCUCUUCCAACACUUGGUACAAAUUCCCUAUUUUCCAAGUACCAAUGCUACAAAUUGACACAUUUUUGAAAAGAAAAAGCACACAACAAUCACUAAAUUCAGCAACACAAAAAUUACGCAAGAUUCACACACAAAUUUGAAAACAAGUCAUAAUUUUUAAGCCUUUAUGCUGCCGUGCAGAUUGAUAAAAUGGUGCACGGUGUAUGAACCUCAUUGAUCGUUUCCGCUGUAUCUUGACAAGAAGAAUCGAUCCUUUUAACUUUUAUCUCAAUCUUCCACAAAAGUACCAAAGAAAGUCAGAACACACAAAUGACCAAUUACAAAAUCUCAAGAGGAAAAGCUACCGUAGCACUCCCUAAUGAUAUCAUCAAGAAAAAAUAGAGCAAUAAUUAGUUGUUUGUUCAUCGAUUCCAGAUAAUGAUAAUACUACAACUAGGUGUUGGGCAUCUGAGGAUUUAAAAGAUACUACAAUUUUGUCAUUUUAGCAAAAGUUAGUGUGGAAAUAAAUCGCGGGUCAUGGCAAUAUUAUUUGACCAUGUCUCUCACACAUAUUAUGAGAAUGCAUUAAGAAAUUUGCUUCACCCAAAAUCCAAAUUUAUCUUGCAAGAGGAAGUUGAUCAAAUUAAUUGACUCUGUUAUCAAAAUUUUAAUGGACAAUCUCUCAUGAUUACAGAGAAAUCUGUAUUAGUUCCCCUAGUCAUUACAAGUAACAGAGCAAGAAACAGAACAUCAGUAAAGUAAAAGACAAAAUGUUGGAAUUAUCAUAAAGUAAUCUUAUGUUUAGAAGAGUAAAGAAGUUUUCAUUAAUAAUUUUAGUUACAAUAACAUCAAAAAUUAUUAUUUUUGGACUAUUUCAUAUGUGGAUUGGAGUUGAGAAGGACUACUCCGGCACUGUCCAUUAUAGGUGGCAAACAAACCUAUUUAACUAAAUUUAUCCAUACUUAUCCAUGAAUAAAUGAAUAUGGAUAUCUUAAGUUUUUGCAUAUGCGUAUAAAAUGGAUUACCCAAUAAUACCCAACCCAUCAAAUUCAAUUAAUCCAUUUAGAAUUGUCUUCCCUCAAAUAUCCUUUCUUCCCCACCCAUUUUUUUUAGAUUCUUCAUUUUAUCAUAAUGUUAACUACUUUUACCUUAUCCUGUUCUUUUCUCGUAGUUUCUUAACUUACUCAUUUUUUAGUAUUACCAAUUUAUGACAAGUUUUAGCAUCUUUUCCUACCUUUCCAAAAUGAAAUUUUAAAUUUCCACAUGCAAAAAAUGCUAGGGGUUCAAAGUUUUUGGAUUAAGUUUUUAUGUUAACUUUCAUAGUACUUAGUUCAAAAUUUUAUAUUCUUAUCGUUCAAUUAUUAAAUAGUAUGUAAUUUUGCGACAUAGAGUACGAAUGAAAAAAAAUUGGUAAUUAAGCUAAUUAAGCAUUAUAAGUAAAUAUUUAAAACUAAAGAUAGGUGCAAAUGGGGGUAUAAAUUGAUAACUUAGUUUGCAAAAAUAAAUUUAAAUGAGUUUACAAAAAGUUAAAAUAAAUGGGUAAUUGGGUCACCCAACUCAUUUUUCGACUUAUAUAUUUAUACUCAUCUAAUUAAAUAGGUAUAAAUGAAUUGACUCACUUAUAUCCAUUACCUAUUUUAACCAACCAAAACCAGCUCAAGUCACUCAUUUUGACAUCUCUAUUGUCCAUUAAGAAGCGGACCUGACAUGCCUAUACCUAUUACUUGGACUUUAUUUUUCGUUUUAAAAGAUUCAUUCCUUUUCAUUAGAUAAGACUUUCUUGCAUGUUGGCCUGGUUGCCUUAGUUAAAUAGAGAAAAAGGACAGAAGGGGCCAAAAAAAAAAAUAUUAUUAUUAUAUAUUUUUUUUUAACGAAGACAUGUUUUCAAGAAAGUGUUGGAAUCAUCAGAAAGGCAUCUCAAAUAUGUAAAGAAAUUUUUAUAGUUUUUGGACUAUUUUGUACUCAUAUAUUUCUGUGAAAGACCCUGCACCUAGACUUGCUUUUCGUUUUAAAAGAUUUAUUCCUUUUCAUUGGGUGAGACUUUGUUGCAAGUUGGCCUAGUUACCUUAUUUAAAGAGAGAAAUGGAACGGCAGGAGGCCCCAAAAAAAGGACUUUAAGUUAAACAGAAAUUUAUCACAAGCCUAAUUACUUUUUAUUUUCAACUAAUAGGAAAAAGAAAGAAAAAAGAACCGAUAGUUUGUUUUACAUAUCUUUUAGUGCACUUUCAUUUGUAAUAUGAAUUAUUUGGGGUGAUUGGAGACACUUUGACGGAUCUUAGGGCCCGAGAUUAGUAAAAUAAAAAAUAAAGAAUGCAACGUGAUAAAUUGAUAAUCUGUAUAAAGCAUGAAAACAGAAUUUUCUCCUUGAGCAAAGAUGGAGGGAUCGUGAAGAAGAGAAAUACGAUAUUCAAUUAUUCAACAAACAAACGGAGCAAGAAAGAAAAAGAUCAACAAAGUAGUUGAGACGAUGCUACAAUCAUCAGAAAUUCAUGUCGGCUUAGAAAAAGCAAAAACGUUUCUUAUAGACUACUUUUAAUUAUUUUUGGACUGUUUCAUACUCGCCAUGUAGCUGAGAAAUGGCAGUUCGGUAUUGUCCAUUAAGAGAAGAUUUAUUCCUUUUCAAUUUUCAUCUGGCAAGACUCUUUUGCAUAUUGGCCCAUAGUUACCUUAGUUAAAGACAGAAAAAGAAACAGGAGGGGCCAAAAAAAAAAAAAAGUUCUCUUGAAGGAGACAGGUUUUCGAGACGGUGCUGGAAUCAUCAAAAGUCAUCUCUAAGUAAAGAAAUUUUUAUAGGUAAAUUACACUUUACUUCCCUGUGGUAUAGUUAAUUUUUAUAUAAUCUCUCUCUAAUUUUUAAAACUAUAUAUAACCCUCUCAUAAUUUAGAUUAAAAUGUCAAAGUGACGGAAAUGAUUAUCCAUAAUGAAACUUAGAAAAAUGUCAAAAUUACUUUUGUUUAAAAACUAAAAUGGAUUAAGUGACCAAUAUAUGUAAACAUAAUAUGCAUGACACUCUAACUCCAUACGAUUUUAUAUUUUACAAUACAAGCCCCUUUUGGUUUAGUGUUUUACCAUAAAACCUCCUUAUAGUUUUUAAUAUAUAGAUAUACAUAAGUCUCUUGUAGUUAAUAAAUAAUUUUUAACUUUACAUAAGGGUAUUUUUAAUAUUUUCGUUGAUUCCGUUAUGGAUUACAAAAUCCUUCAUUUUGACACUUUAAUCCAAACUAUGAGGGGAUUAUGUAUAGUUUUUGAAACUAUAAGGGGGUUAUAUAAUAAAGUACUAAAUCAUAGGAGGUAAAGGGUAAAUUACCCAAUUUUUAUUGACUCAUAUUGCUGUAAAGGACCCUGCACGUAGACUCGUUUUUCGUUUUGAAAAAUUUAUUCCUUUCCAUUGGGUACGACUUUGUUGCAUGGUGGCCUAGUUACCUUAUUUAAAUUUGACUUUAAAUUAAACGUAAAUUUCCAACAUCACAAACUAACCUUUUCAUUUUCCAAAAAAAAAAAAAAAGAACUGAUGACUUAGUCAUCUACGUUUCCUUUAAUAUACUUAUAUGUUAUUGCUACAAACAUCAAUUACUAUAAACACCCAAUUCUGAUCAGUUAUGUUGGGGAUUUAUGUAUUAAAAAUUGUAAAUAACAUGAGCGAAUGCAUAUCCUUCAGUGCACUUUCAUUUGCAAUAUGAGUUGUUUGGGGUGAUUUGAGACGCUUUGACGGAUUUUUGGGUCCGAAGUUACUAAAAUAAAAAUAAGAUAAUGCAAAGUGAUAAUCUGUGUAAACUUAAAGGAUGAAAGCAGAAUUUAUAAUUAAUAGGAGUCUCUGCAAAGCUUCAGUUUCACAGGAACACCUUUAAUUAAUGUUGUUGCGGAUCAACUCGAGGUCAUGUAAGAAGACACAAUUGACUCAAGUGGAGGACAUCUCCAGCUCUUUUGCAGGGAUCUUCCUCAAUUUCACUCUCUUAAUUUAGUGCAGCUAAAGAAUAGCCAAACCUCGUCUUGUAGGGAGCUAGCAAGUUUUUGGCUCCGGAUUCUUCUUUUCUAUCAUUAUUAUUAUUAUUUGGAAAUUGAGGUAGAGAACUGAUAUAGUAUUCAAUUAUUCAACGCACAAACAGAGCCAGGAGAAAAGCACAAGAAAAUUGAGACUGUGUUUGAAAUUUUUGUUUUUGGCAUUAACAAUUUAAAAUUCAAUGGCUACUCGAUUUAAAAAGUAGAGAAAUACAUUAUGCACGUACUAAUUUAGAGAGUUACAGAUGGGGAACAAGUUGCUGAAAUUUGGGCCUCACCGCCGCACAAUUUUGAACCCCUUUUCCAACUCCCUUUUUUUUUUUUUUUGUUAUGCAUGUUUCCUUAUUUCAGGCCUGAUGUUGGCAAAAUAUCAUUCGAGUUUUAUUCAAUUAAAUUUUGUUCUUGGGUUUAGAAAGAGAAAAAUAAUUUACAAAUCAUAGCACUAAUUUUAUGGGUAAAUUACACUUUACUUCAUUGUAAUUUAAAGCUUUUCUACACAAACCUCUUAUGAUUUUAAAACUUAUAUAUAUAUAUAUAUAUAUAUAUAUAUAUGCACACACAUAUAUAGACACACACACAUAACCCUCUGAUAGAGCAAUUAUUGGGCAUAUUUUGCACUAUUAUUCUGUCCUAAUUUUGGCUACUCAUGAUGCUAAGAAUUGAGAAUUUGCUCAUAUUUCAUAUUUGUGUAAAUUGUAGGUGAUUGGUGUUAAAAGUGAUUUCGUGAGACAAAUUUUCAAAAAACUCUUUAUUUCAUAGUGUGCCCACGCCAGAGACCAAAGGGGUACACCUAAAGGAUGGACCCGCAGAAUUGGUAAAACAAGUGAAACAUCAGGAAACCAAAAAGAGCUCGUGGGCCACGGAGAUGCAUGGGAUUAAAACCCUUCUCAAAGGGGAAGUAGAAUAAAACCACUUGGGAUCCUCGGUGACAUGUUUUCUAUGCCAAUCCAAUGCCACCAAUAGUGUUGUGCCAAGUGUCAUGUUAUUAUUUACACUUUAAUUUUCUAAUAAUUCAACUUGGCUUGGUUUAACACAAGUGUAAAUAAUAACAUGACACUUGGCGCAACACUAUUGAUGGCAUUGAAUUGGCAUAGAAAACAUGUCACCGAGGAUCCCAAGUCAAAUAAAACGGCUCUUCCUCUCUUUUCGGCGAGUUGUACGUGAAUUGGCACAAAAGGCCAGAUUCACGUCUAAUGAGGAGAUUAGCUUUAGUUUCAAUUGGGGAAUCAGACGUUUCUUUUGGGCGGCGGCUUCAAAAGGCUAAAAAGCCAGAAUCACGUGCAAUCAAUUAGCUUAGCUUUAGUUUCCUUUUCUCAUUUUGUCAGACGUUGGAGACCUCUCUUUAGUUUUUGGCUUUGUACGAUUUUGACUCCUUGGUUUUUACUCUGGCUCUGUACAACUUUCGUUAGCUUUGGUUCUUGCGUUUGCGGCUCCAGUACGAAGACGAAACCCAAAAGAGACGCGAGACUUUCACCUGUCUCCUCGUUAUUCCUUCUUUUGCAACUUUUUGGUAAUUUAGUUGAAUGAUAUCAAUUGAAUCACAUGGGAUUGAUAUGAUGAGGAGCGGCUAAAUUUCUCCUCUACCUAAAGGUCAACGCAAGGACGCGGUCCAUAACAUCUGUGAGAUCUAAUCAAACUUUCAUUAUUUCUUCCAAUUUGUUACUAUUCGUGCGUUUCUCGGAUUAAUUGUUUAUGGUUAUUUUAUUAAUUGAAUAUCAACGGCCGGAUAUUUAAUUUAAUCUAAUAGCCUACUGUCACGUUAAUUAAAUUGAAUCCGUAAUUGUUAGUUUAGUUGACACCUAAUGACAACCACCGUAAUUGGAUUUAUGUUGGGGAAACGUAAGAUCUACUUUAAAUAAACCCUCUUAGCGUGUUUAUCGGUUAGGGUUGGGUUCUUCUAGCUUUCAUGCGACUGGAUAAUUAAAUUCCUACGGUCGUACCUAGGGUUGUUUUCUGGUUAGAGAAGCAGUCAAUGGUCGUACCUUGACUGUCGAAAAAGUAAGGAAGAACUGGUUGUCAGAACUUGUUGAUAGCUAUAACCAACCUAGUGACGGAUGAAUGAAAUAUCUUUGCAUCGAUGAUCAUUUAAUUGGAUCAUGCUUGAAAAGUUGAUCCUUUGGGUAGAAUUUUAUUAAUUGUUAUUUUUAGUAAAUUGUACUUGUGAAGUUAUCAUUUGAAUUUUACUUAUUUUAUUUUCAUUUUCAUCCCAUUAAUCAUCCCCCGAUUUUAUUCUAUUGACUUGGAGAGAAACAACUUCCUACCCGUUCCCUGUGGAAUCGAUCCUACUUGCCAUUGUACGGAAAUUUUAUAUUUUUAUAGACAAUUCUGGUAUAUCGGAUCAAGCAAACUCUUCGGGAACAUGGUGAAUCAAGUAACCCAUUGCACACCUAGGGUCCCUGCUCCAGUACUUGGAUUUGUUUUAUAAUUAAUUGUGGUGGUAAUUAGGACUUUUUAGUAAUUAUUAUUACACAGGUUCGACACCUGUCACCCUCUCAUAAUUUAAACUAAAGUGUCAAAAAAAAUGGUCCUAUGUAAUAGGACCAACUGAAAUGUAAUCUUCUAAGGCCAUAGUUAAGUAUGUAAUCAGGCCAAUUACAGAUGGGACAAGUUAUCUUGAACAAGCAUUGUUAAAAAAAAAAGGAUUAAAAAUUUUAGCCUUAGAUUCUAAAGCUGUGCUGUAAAUUAGUACUUUAAACUAUCCAAAUCAUACUAUAUGAUGGGUGUCAAAUCACCAAAAUUAAACUGAAAGACUAUGAAUUUUAAAAAAAAAAAGUGAUUGUUUUGGAUUCUAAACUUCUAACUUAUUGACUUUGAUAUGUAAAUUGUUCAAAACUCUCCACCACAAAGAGUAUCAACUUGGUUAAACAGCCAUCAUAUACCACGGUAAUUGCACGCAUGGAAUAUUACAAUCUUUUAGUAUAGCUUGAAAGACUAAGGAUUUAAAAUUCAAAUCUCUUCUUCAUUUUUUUAAAUUUAUUGUAUUAGUUUUCAAACAGAACAUCUUUCUCUUCACAAAGGAGACUAAUUGUUCUCUUGGUCUCUCUCCUUCCCAUGGCUUUAUUUCUUUUUUUUUUUUAAAUAAUAAGUCUAUUUUUGUUAGAGUUUUAACCUCUCGUAUAACUAUCUAGUGAGAAUUUUCUUCUCUAUUUAGAAUUCUUAGUGAGCGUAUUUUUUAUUUUAGUUUUGUUUUUCCUUUUGCUUUAAAUAGUGGAAUUAGAUGGAUCUAGGUAAUGACUUUAUAAAAUGUAUAUACCAAGCACAACAAAUAUAGACAAGCACCUGUUGUUUGUUUUGAUUGCAUCCUUUUCCUUUUCUUUUCUCGUUGUAGAUUGAUGAAUGCUUGAUCGUGUGCUUAAUUAAUAUACAAUUUAUGUCAAUUUUCCCUUUGAUUUAAUAUAUUAUUGUUUUACUUUGUGGAUUCUACUUAUGUUUUGUGUUUUGAUGGUGUCAUAGAAAUUUGGGAUGAGAAAGGGCUAAAAAGAGUUGCUGUGGAGGUUAUUUACUUUCAAGCAUGAGUGCGUGUUAAAAUACUUGUGAAAUUCAGAAGCUGUGGGACUCGAGAUUAAUUUCAGCAAUUAAAGUAGAUGAUCCACUGAUUCUCUACAACUUUGGAACAAGACCAAGAGUACUAUUUUCUUUGGGAACCACACAUUUGGAAGGAUAAUUAGUUAGGAUUUCUAUUCAAACUUUAUGUAGGAGAAUAAUUUAUUUCUGGAAGGUUUUAUUAGAGAAGAGAUAAUUCUUUUGUUAGGAGCAAUGUUUUUUUAGGAGAAAGAUGAUAUGUUCUCACCUCUUACUCUCAUUUAAAGAAGAGGAUUAGAGUAGUUAGUUUUUCUUUCCUCUUUUCCCAAGAUGAAAAAAGGUCGAUAUUCUUCUCUUUAGGUACGUUUUUCCACGAGGAGUGGUUAAUCCUAAUUUGGUAGUCAAAGGAAAAUUGAAGAAUUGGUUCUACGGCAAUUGUGAGAUCUAAUUUACUUUUAUAUUUCAUUUAUUUAUUUGUAUAUUUCCUAUAUUAUGCCUGGAAUAAUUACCGUGUGUGAUUGAAUAGGUGCACAAUAUUUAAUUAUUCACAAUAGUUUAUUGCCAAUUGAGACAAUUAAAUCUAUAAUUAUUUUACUGUUUUAAUAUUUGUGGCAACUGGCAUGAUUAAUUUUUUGUCAAGGAAGUAUACAAUCUAAUUUAAACGAAUCCUUGUAAUAUAUUUGUUGAUUAGAAUUGGACUUUUCUAAUCUAUAAUACUGUUAAAAGAUUAAAUUCUAUGAUCGUACUUAGAGUUGUCUUCUAAUUAGGAAAAUUGUUAACGGUCGACAAAAUAAAGAAAGGUUUGUCAUAAGAGUUUGUUAACAAUUAUAACCAAUUUAUUCAUGAAUAUUUGAAUUAUCUUUGUAUCAAGAAUUAAUUGCAUGAACCAUUUUUUAUAUUAUUUCUUUUGCUAGAGCUCUAUCAUUGUUAAUUUAAUUCUGGUUAAUUUUCGUAUGUUUAUUUUGUGUUUAAACUAAUAAGUUAGUUUAAUCUCCAAGAUCAGCCCUUUUAUUCAUUGUUUUGAAAGGAAAUAAACCAAUCCAAUCCCUGUAGAGACGAUUCUAAUUACCACUGCAUACAAACUCCUAUUUUUCAGAGUAGAUAUUUUAUUUUUGAUUGGCUCACAACCUGUCAAUGCCUUUCCUUGGUAACCUCAUUAACAUAGUUAUCCAUCAUUCUCAUCAAAAAAAGCUAGUGUAAACAAGGAAACAAGUAUACGAUUAUCAAUUUACUAGGCCAUAGCCAAGGGGUUAAUAUCCACUCCAUUGGAUUCCUCUCCAUUGUUCUCUCCUAUCUAAAAUUUUAUAGCUCUAUAAAUUAGUCUGGUUGUGUUAUUUUGCUUCUCAUCUCUUAGAUCAACAUAUUAAAAAUGGUAUUCUUUUGCAUAUACUUUGGCAUUCAAUUUACAGUAAACAUUUGAAUGGUGAAAAAUGAGUCAAAAUUAUAACAAAAUGUGUAAUGAUUAAUUAGCAAGCAAAACUUAAUUAAAUUUAUACAAAAUUUUGUGUGUAACUAAUACGAGUGAUGAAAUACAUCAUCGAUGCAGUGGAAAGGAACUUAGUCCCAUAGCCAAGUAUGUAAUGAAGCUAACUAUGGAUGUAACAAGUUACCUUGAAAAAAAUUACAUUAUAUGCUUUACCUUCUAAAGUUAGAGUGUGAAGUAGACUCAAGGUGAUCCUUGUAGAAUAAUUGGGAAUACUGAGAUGCUAUGUUUUCUGCUGCAAAUUUAGAGGAAAUAAAAUCUGCUAUUACACCGAAAGAUUAUAUUUUUUUUUUAGAAAAAAUCAUUUUGGAUUCUGAACUUCUAAUUUAUUGACUUGGAUAAGUACAUUAUUCAAAACUCUCCACCACUAAAAGUAUCAACUUAGUUAAACUAUCAUCAUAUAGAACAGUAAUUGCACGGUUGGAAUAUUACCAUCUAUUAGUAUAGUUUGAGAAACAGAGGCUUUUAAAAUUAUUCAAAUCUCUUUUUUUUUUCUUUUGAUUCUAUGUUAAUUUGCCCAAAAUUCAUUGUAUUAGUUGUCUAGGUUCACUUGACAUAGCCUAUAACUAGAGGAAUCGACUUAUCGUACAAUUAUAAAGUUUAUACACGUUUUCUCCAAAAUUUAGAUAUUUUAUCUCCCGCUCUUUAUAUCAUCUGAAACGUAUUGGGUGGAAUUCAAGAAUGGAAGAUUAAAUAUCCAUACAAUCACAUCUCCUUUAAAGCUCUUUGGAGAAUCAAUUAUUUUACUAACGUCCUUUCCAGCAAUUAGCUCAAGCAGCAGGAAAAACCAAGUUGCAGAAGGAACCUAAGUCCCAUACUUCAUUCUUUGCCAAAAUUCUUCAACUUGAAGAAGUAAAAUAUGAUUCUGAAAAUUUAGAAAAUUUCGAAGUUAACAUUGAGCAUACAUCUUCAACCAAUUCUAUGGUGGAGUACUACUCUAUCCUGAUGAAGCCAAUUGCAACUUUUACCUUAAGCCUGUUUGAUUUUGGCAUGAAUUUGUAGAUCAAAAGUAUGUUGUUAAUUCCCAAAUUGGGCUGUCUUAUUCUUCCAAGAAUCAUGAGUUCAAAUAUAAAUUGCUAAUCAAUUCUGUCAAAAUGAUGGAAUUUCAACCUCAAAUAGAAAAAAAAAAAUGAAAAAAGAUAACAGAGUUUCUUGAGAGCAAAAAGCCAAUCGUUUUGCAGUAGUAUCUUCGUACACUGUUCCUAUUUUCCAAGUCCCAACUCAGCAAAUUCACACAUGUUUGAAAAGAAAUAAUACACAACCAUUACUAAAUUCAGCAAAACGAAAUUACACAAAAUACGCCAACAGCAAAUUAUCUGAAUAGCAUUUAUGCUGACAUGCAGAUUGACACCUCAUUCGUUGUUUCCGCAAGAAAAGAGCCACCAAUCCUCUGAACUUUUAGCUCAAUCUUCCACAAAAGCACCGAAGAAAGCCACAGACCCCAUAGAUAACAAAUUACAAUCUCAACAGGAAAAAUUACUGUAGCAGUCCCUCCCUGGUGAUAUCAUCAACAAAAAUUAGAGCAAUAACAAUUAGUUGUUCGUUCAUCAAUAUCAUUAAAAAAAAAAUGAAAAAAAGAGUAACAAUUAGUUGUUUUUUCAUCGAUUUCAGUGUUUUCGUGCAUGCAUUACAGGCAACUAAAGUAAAAAAAAGCUACCAAAAGGCAUAUAUAAAUUAAACUUUUUUAAAAGAAAAAACAUGAUUAUUUCUACAAGCCAAUUGAUGGUGAUGACAAAAAAAAAAAUUUACCAGAUAUUGCACCAGCUGAUGCCCUUCAAUCUAUGAUGAUGAUCUUCAGAUUCUCAUUUCCAUAAUUUUUCUGUGCUUCUUCAAUUUCCCGUACUAAAGAUUCGACACCAUUUCCACAUAAACUCACCUGAAUUGUUUCAAGAGUAGAUAUACGCCCUAAACAAGAAGGCAUCAUUUCCAAUUUAGAAAUUCCGCGGAGUUUUAAUUGCUGAAGACACGGGAAGUAAUCAUCACUGUCAGGGUCUGCCUCCUUCCACUCCACAACCUUUACAAAUUCCAAAGUCAAGACCCUGAGUUUAGGAAAUCCUCCCUCCAUCAGCUCCCAUUUUUGGCCGUCCGUUGCCUGAUCACUUAAUUUAAGGACUUCAAGAUUGGGUAGUUGUUCAAUCAGUGACAUCUUUCUACGGGGAAGACUCACACGGGAAAGACACAACUUUUUCAAAUUCAUGGGAAAGGAAAGCUCAACAUGUUCCCGCGAACCUGGGAAAACGUAGCUCCUUAAGGUGAGUGACUCUAGGCAUUCUAGUCGACUCAUGUUGCAGCAUACUGUAUUUGGUCGCCCCAAAUCGAAAAUUUUAAGUCGGUGAACGUUGGGAAUCCUUCUCAAUAGGUUCUCUCCCUCUUUAUCAAGAUCAAGAUGCAGAGUAGAGAGUGUGUCUAAAUUGGGUAAAGUAGAGAGGUUUUCAACAACGUUGUCGUUGGAAGAUAGACGAAUAACAACGCCACUCCUUGCAUGUACAUGCCUCAACUUCUUCAUGUUCCAGAUGCUAUCUGGCAACGAAACCAUCCGAUGAGAAUACAGACAAAAGGUUUCCAAAUGUGAGAGCUUGGCUAUAGAUGGUGGAAUGAAUUCCAUGCGCUCUGCUCUAAGGGAUAAGUACCUCAAACAAAGAAGUGAUUCGACUUCAGCUGGAAGCUCCUUCAGCAUUAGGUUAAUGCCCUCUAAAUUCAAAACUUUAAGUUGUUUGUAGAUGCAAAAAAGGAAGGAGAUGUUACGCAACUCAAACUUAAUAUAUCCUGGAAUAGCAUCAAAGAAUAGCAGAGUACCUAAACAUGGACAAAAUAGCUUUGACUUUAUAAAAUCUUCUCCACUGGAGCAAAUGGACAACCGAGGUAGAUUGGGAGGCUCAAUAAAGGUAGAAAGCUCAUCAUAUCCUCGCAGGACCUGAAGAAAUUUCUUUUCUUUCGCCUCGCCCUUACAGAACUCAAAUAUCAAAUCGUGAAUGUAACAAGUUUUGACUCCACCAAUGGAUCUGCUUUUACUUACCAUAACUAAGUUUCGACCAAUAAGGUCCAUCAAAUAUUCUUCUGCAACGACCUCUGAUCUCUUUCCUUCAAUUUUUUCCACAAAUCCUUCUGCAAUCCAGAGACGAAUCAAAUUCUUGGCACCAAUUUUUUCAUCUUCUCGAAAUGCAGCAAAAUACAGCAAGCAUGCCUUCAAGUGAUAUGGUAAAUGCUCAUAACUGAGCUCCAAUGACUUCUUGCACUGGUCUGUACUAGACACCAUGGUCAAAGUUAAACUUUCCGCAAAUUCUUCCCAAACCAAAACAUCAUGCUCUAUAGUGGCUAGAACUCCAGCAACAACAACAAGUGCAAGUGGCAAUCCCCUGCACUUCUUGGCAAUCUUCAUAGCGAUUCCACACAAUGCUUGAGGACAAUCUCCUUUUCCAAAUACCUUUUUCAGCAGUAAUUCAAAACUUUCUUUCUCACUGAGUGGGCGAAGAUUGUGAGAUUUCCCCCCAUAUUCAACCUGUAAAGCCACAUUAGAAGAUCGACUCGUGAAGAUGAUUCUACUUCCUUUCUUGUCAUCAGGGAAUGAAAUUCUCAGGUCAUUCCAUACCUUAAUGUCCCAGACAUCAUCAAAAACAACAAGAUACCGAUUCUCCUUUAGCUUUUUGUAUAGCUUUUCAAGCAACACAUGUUCAUCCAGAUUUUUUAACUCAUCAUCCAUCCUGGAAUGUUUGCCUUCAGAGCACAAAAUUUGAAGUAAUACAUUUUUCAUGUUAUAGGCUUGAGAAACAGUACACCAAAGACGAAUCUGGAAGUUAUAGAUAAUUGAACUAUCAUUGUAAACCUUUUUGGCUAAAGUUGUUUUACCAAGCCCAGCCAUUCCCACAAUGGGAACAAUUUCCACCUGUUUUGAUCCGCUUACAAGUCGUUCAAUUACUUUUUCUGCCUCAUCAUCAAGACCAACCAUGACUUCAUGGGGUAUUGGCAUUUUUCCUUUUGAUAGCACGCGGCUGGAAGUCUUGCUUACUUCUGGUACUCUUAAGCUAUGAAAGGAAGGAAUACUUUCAAUAAUGCUUGAGCCACUGAUCUGAUCCUUAAAAUACUUGAUAUGGAUGUUGGUAUUAGCCAGCAUAUCAUAACAGUCAAGGGCCUCUGUGGAUUCUGAGAGACUAACUUCUUCUUUGACUCUGUUUAGAGAAGGCGAGCAAAUUAUAAUGGCUGCCUCACUAAGAAGAGCACCAAUUUUUUCAUUUUGUUCAUCCAUCUUCUCCUGCUGCUUCCUUAAAAUGCUUCUCAAGAACUUCAGUCCUGCAUAGAGUAUUCGCAUUUCGUCUUUCAAGGAAUCCAUAAAGCUAGAGCUGCAGCAUAACUGCUCCCAAAGACAACUUAUCAGAGAAUCAUUUAAGUUGUUCAAUAUCUGCUUAUCCAUCAUUUUAUUAUGCAGUGAUUUUGAGGAUCUUGUAGCUCUAAGAACAUCCAUAUAAAUCUCAUAGACUUGAAAAUCAAUAGGUGUGAUUUUCUGUUGUUGCUCAUAUAUCAUGGAGCAGAACUCAGGAUUGUGCAGUUGCUCAUCUUCCCAAAAGGAACACAUGUAAGAGAGGCGUGCUGCGUUCAAAGCCACCACUUCAAAGUGAGCCAACAGCAGGGCAGGAAUAUCUACAGUUCCUCGCAAUUUGGCAAAUGGAAUGAAGCUUUUCAAGAAUGUUAGCUUGGCUUCAAGGGCUUGUACUUGAGCACUCAAAGCAGCAGAAAUAGAUGAUUCACUAAUUUUCCCAUCCAUAUAGCCAUUUAUCAAAUCUGCUAGAUUUUGUAGGAUGAGGUCUAUGAAUUCCGUUAGUUCAUCAUCCGUCAUACAAGAAUUUGAUUGCAAUGACCUGCUGCUUGCCAUAGCAAAGUAAAUUUGGAUGAUUUCUUGCUUAAGUAACUCGAUCUGUUUCUCAAUUUCGGGGAACACUCCUCGAUUAACAAUAGAAUAGUGAUCUUUAUCCGUUUUUGAUAUAAGGGAAAGAUAGUGAAUGUCCUCCUCGUAUUUGUGGAAGGUAUCUUCAACGCAAGAUAAGAAAGAUGGAAGAAUCACCUUCUUCGCUACAUCGUCAGAUUGCAAGUACAAAUCAUUGCUUUGGCUCCACUUUCUUGCAUGCAUAAGAAAUGUUCUGAGAAAUUUCAUGCGUUUGAUGGCAUCACGAACACGAGGAGCAAUGUAAGUAGCAUACCGGCUUCGGACGAUGUUCAGGAGCAGCAACUCUAGAUCAAGUAAGACCCGAUCGAUGCUGCAAGUGGAGACCAUCUCCUAUGCAGGGAUUUUCGUCUCAAAUUUUAAGAGAGAAGCAAAUCUCACUAAUUGCAGAGCCAGCAAGUAUUUCUUUCCUGAAAAUUACUUCUUUGCUUUUCUUCUUCUGAAGAGUAUUGAGAUAAUCAAUUAUUCAACCAGGUGGAAUUGGCAUCAAGGUGGAACCCAGACAAUGAUAAUACUACAACUAGGAGUUGGGCACCUGAGGAUUUAAAAGAUACCACAAUUUUGUCAUUUUAGCAAAAGUUAGUGUGAAAAUAAAUCGUGGGUCAUUAGCAAUAUUAUUUGCUCAUGUCUAACUACAAAAGGAAGUUGAUAAAAUUAGUUGACUCUGUUAUCAACAUUUUAAUGGGGAAAUUUGAUAUGGCAAUCUCUCAUGGUUACAGAGAAAUGCAUUCUUGAAACAUUUUCUGUUGUGGUCAUUUCGAUAACUAAUGUUGUUUUUGGUUUGUAUUACAACUAUGAAUAUGUAUUAGUUUCCCUAGUCAUUACAAGCUCAUUAAUUGGAGUUGAUCAAAAUUUUGUACGCUUUCAAACAGAGGAAGAAACAAAAGAUCAGCAAGGUAAAAGAGAAAAUGUUGGAAUUAUCAUAAAGACAUCUUGUGUUCAGCAGAGCAAAGAAGUUUUCAUUGACAAGUUUAUUAUUUUUGGACUAUUUCAUACUCAUAUUGGGGUUGAGAAGGCGCACUCUGGUAUUUUCCAUUAGCAAAGGGUUCCUGCACCUAUACUGCAAAAGCUUAAAAAUUUAACCAAUUGCUCAGUUCAGACUUGUUUUAUCAUAAUUAGGACUGCCACUCAAGUCAUGUGAGUCGGGCUUUCAUAAGUUCAAUUUUAACUCAUUUAAUUUGUAACACUUUUGAAUUUCGGGUCGUGACUUUCGGAUUAAUAAAUGUGAUGAUCAUACUCAACUCAUAAAAUAUUCGGAUUUUGAGUCUUAUUGGGGCUUAGUUCAUGCUCAGUUAUUGCUCCUUAAUUUUCUUAAUAUAAUUACUAUAACUAUUAAGUUAUAAAACUAAUUUAAUAUUCACAGGACUAUAACAUUAAAACUAAACAUAAACAAGUAAUAAAUCUUAAAAAGUACAUAAACCAAAAAUUUUUCAACACAUUUAUAUCUAAUUCGUUCAAAAUAUAUGAAAAAUACUAAUAAAACACGCGGUCAUAAGUCAAUACAUUUUCAAAAGUUGGAACUUCUUCAUACUUUUGUGACUUGAAUCAAAACAUACUUGAUGAUUUAUGUUUCUAGACCAAAAAGAAAUCAACCAAAAAUUUUGCUCAACCAAUAAGAAAAGUUAAAGUUUCAGUUAUGUAAUAUCAAUAUUAGCUUUCAAGAAAGUUAGUAGAGAAAUCUUCAAAUGUAUUUUUGUGUUUUGUAAUUUGUAUAUAUUUGGUAUUAGUAAUAAUAUAUUUGGAUAUAUAAUUAUAUUAUAUGCAUAUCAAUAUAUAUAUAGCUAAUUUAAGGGCCGAGCUUAAGUUGGAUUUGAGUCUAAUGAGGCCCAAACUCGAUUCAUAUUUAAUUCGGGUAUAAUUUUUAGAUUCAAACUCAGAUCGGUUCAGUAAAAGGUCGGAUUCAUCCAUCUUUUUUUGGACCUAACAAGUCGACCUCGGGCUAGCAUGGCCCCAUUGACAGUCCUAAUAGUAAUAAAUAUAAACACUAAGAUAAUAAAUAUAAAGAGUAAAAUGAUAACGUUCAAAAUUAAUGAGUGCAUUGAUGUUACCAAUAUACACUGGUUAAAGAAAAUGAUUGGAUUAAAGAAGUAAAAAAUUCUACUAAUUAGUAGCAGUACUUCUUUUCAAGAGUUAAGACUUAAAUGUAGGCUAAUUAUGUAUACUAAUUUAUAUACUUGUAUCAUAGGCAUAUUUUUCACUUACCUUUUCAUCUCAUAUAUAUUAUAUAAAAAAGUGAUACAGAAUUUUUAUAAAAAAAUAUUAUCCAAAAUAAUCUCCUAUCCAGACACAAGUAUAUGCCCAUUUCAGUGUUACUUGGGCCAUUGGAAAUUAAUUGAAAGUCUUCUCCUUAGUCUUUCUUCAACAUUGAGGGCGUCCAUUCAGAAAAUGAGAGAGAAGGGGACUGGUCGUUCUUCGGGUCAAGCACGGCCAGAGAACCCUCCCUUUCCUUGAUUUCUAACACAGGGUUCAUGGGUAAGGCAUACCCAUAUUUUUAAAUGUUUGAUAUCAAUUCUUAUUAUUCACAUAGAAAACUUCCAUGAGUUGACUGAGAAUUAGGUCUUGUUCGAUAAUUCAAUUCAACACUUAAAUUUGAUGGAUUCAGAUCUUAAUAUGUUCAAACGCAUUUGAUAACAAAAAAUUAACAUUUGAAUUAAUUACGUAGCACUGAAUUUUCUUGAUAAAAUUUACUCUAAAAAAUAAAUGAUAACCUAUUCAUUUAUCAUUAACACUUAAUGUGACAUGUAUUCAAAUAUGUCAAGUUUAAUAUUUAAUAAUUAAAUAAUUUAAUAGAUUCAAAUUUCAAAUUUCACUCUUAUCAAAAUCACCCUACUCCCACUACUCUCAAAAGGCAGAACCGAAAUGCAUGCUAAUAGAAGAUCAAUUCAACUCUUAACAUUAGUCUUUCUUCCACAUUCGGGGGGUCCAUGUGCAGCAUUCGAUGGAUUGAUGGAGACCGGAUAGUGUUCUGGUCAAAAACGGCUACUGGACGAUCCCUUUUCUUGUUCUUUAAUUCAAGCUUUAUCCUUUAACGGCCAAUGUUUUAGUUGGGAGAAGAUUUCAUUCACAAUAUUCCCUUUUUUAUGUGUGGGUAACUCUAUUCAGAUUUUUGGAUAUGAACAAUUUUGAUCUAAUUGAUAUACAUCGCAAGAACAUUUUCAUAUUCUCUUGUGGUUAAAUUUAAUAAUAUUAUACACAGCUAAUGAAUUGAUAAGGAUUUUACGGAAUUAUAUUUAUCUUUUAGGUAGAACUACAAACGAAUCUCGCAAACCAACUUUUUAACAGCGAAACUGCCUCAAUAUUGGCUGGCUGAGCUCAAGCAAUUUGACCAAAGUAUCAGAUCAAGUAGUUUGAUUAAAAAAAUACUCUUAAACCUCAUGGUAUGCAGGCAUACUUCUUAACAUUAUUAUUGAUCAUCUAUUUUAAAUUCCUUCAAAAAAAAUAUUAUAAUUAAUAUCCACUUACAUAUGAGCUCGAUCAAAUCCGAUCUAUACAAGUGGACGUCAUCUCCAUCUCUUAUAAUGCAAGGAACUUCCUCAAUUUGACUCUCAAAUUUUAGUGUAGCAUGAGGAGAAAUAUUAGCAAGUAUUUCUCUUGUGGGAUAUUCAAUUAUUAGACAAACAAACGGAGCAAGAAACAAAAGAUUAACAAGUAACAACGUAGUAAUGGUGAUAGUAGUGUAGGAAUUACGAGAAAGUUACAUCUCGGUUUGGUAAAAGCAAAGAAUUUUUUUUAUUCAUUACUUUAUGGUUUUUGAAUGAAUUAUUUCACUCUCAUUUUGUAGCCAAGAAGCACCAGUGUCGGCAUUGUCCACUAAUAAAGGGACCCUACACAUAGACCCUUUUUUUUUUAUUAAAAAAUUUUCGCUUUCCAUAAGGCAAGACUUUCUUGGAAUUUUCGGGAGAAAAAGAGCAUAUAAGAGGCCAAAAAAAAAGAAAGGAAAAAAUUAAAGUCGAACAGGAAUUUUUAUUAUCACGAAAAUAGUUCCUUUCAUUUUCAAGUGAAAGGGAAAAAGAGAAUGAUAGUUUAUAAUUAGUCAUCUAUGUUAGCUUUAUUUCAUUUUUUUUUCCUUUUUGUUCAAAAUUCAAGCAUUGUUGUUCAAUAUGCAUGCUCCAAAGAUCAAUCUUAUAAUCCAAAAAUCAAUAGCUAGUUUUUAUUUUCAAAAGAAAAUAGUAAAAUGACUUCAAUAGAGAUUUUAGUUUGAUGGAAUCUUUGACUUGAGUUUAUAUAAUUACUAACAAGGGCCUUAAGCCACGAACAAAGACUAAAGAGGAGUCAGCAUCAGUCCGAGAUUACGCUUCACGGGUCGGGUGUUCUUUCCGCCUAACAGAUUUGUAACUCGAACCAGUUCUAUUGGUUCGACAAAAAAUUAAAUCAGAACUGUGUCUACGGUUAUAGAGUACUCGAAUGACCGGAUAUUUGGCAAAGCGGUUCACGGACCCGGAGGUACUAAGACUCAGUACCAAAGUUAAAAAAGAAAUCAUAUUUUCAUAAUUGAGAAUUAGAAAAUAAGUAAACAACUAAAAGACUUUAUUUAAAUAUAAUUCAUUAUUUGUUAAGAAAGAUCACAUAACCAUCAAUACUUGCAUAUUCAUAGUAAAAGCAAGUUUGUAAAUAUCACUUAUUCUCAGCAACAAAAGCUAAAUAUAUUACUAGAUAAUUAGCAAGUUAAACAAGUUAAGACUUUUAUAUUGUUGAGAUAGUCAAGUAUAUCAUCUCAAAUAUAAAUAUUUGAUGAAAGAUGAUUAUAUAUUCCUCUAUUAAUUUUAGUUUUAACGGACAAAAUUAUAAGUAUAUCCUUACAUAUGAAUUGGGUCCGAUCUGCUACUAUCCGAAUUACACAUUAAAACCAAUUCGAGUAUCCUAUAUUUACGGUUCAUAUCGAAUCAAUGUUUACAAUUUUUUGAAUUUCUCUGAUCAAAAUAAACAACAUGUGUUACAUAAACUUGCAAAUCUUUAUUAAUUAAUGACAAUCAAACAAAAAUUUAUUCCUAUCAUACCAUACAACCCAACAGACAACGGGAAAAAGAGGAAAUCAAAGAACAUUAAAGUGGUUAACAGUUGAGAAUUUUUUACAACCAAAAUUUAGCCAACUAAUGAAAUCUAAUUGAGCCACCCAAAGAAGGGGAAUUGAUAGGAAAAGAUGUAGCUACCCAAAGACAUGGGGCUUUAGGACGCUCCCAAUUACGUGUUUAGAUUCCUUGCCCGCAAAAAACGCAGGAGCUCCCUGGAGGCCAUCAAUCCUUUCAAUUUUUACCUCAAUCUUCCACAAAAACAUCAAAGAAAGCCAGACCAUACAGAUGACUAAUUACGAUCUCGAAGAAAAACUGCUACGUACCGUAGCACUCCCUGAUGACAUAUCAUCAAGAAAAAAUAGAGCAAUAAUUAGUUGUUUGUUCAUCAAUUUCAUUAACAAAAAACAAAAAAAAAGAGCAUUUAAUUAGUUGUUUGUUCAUCAAUUUCAUUAACAAAAGCCAAAAAAAAGAGCAUUUAAUUAGUUGUUUGUUCAUCACUUUCAAUGUGCUCGUGCACACAUUAUAGGCAACUGAAGUACAAAAAAGCUACCAGAAUGUAAAUAUAAAUUAAACUCCUUUGAAUGAAAAAAGCAUGAUUAUUUCUACAGGCCAAUUAAUGGUAAUGACAAAAAAAAAAAUUACCUAAUAUUGCACCAGCUGAUGCCCUUCAAUAUUUUCCAUAAAUGAUCUUCGGAUUCUCAUUUCCAUUAUAUUUCUGUGCUUCUUCAAUUUCCCGUACUAAAGAUUUGACACCAUCUCCGCAAAAACUCACCUUAAUUGUUUCAAGAGUAGAUAUACGCCCAAAACAAGCAGGCACCAUUUUCAAGCUAAAAAUUUUGAGGAGUUUUAAUUGCUGAAGGCACGGGAAGUAAUCAUCAUUCAUCACUAUCAGGGUCUGUCUCUAUCCACUCAACAAUCUCUAGAGAUUGCAAAGUCAAGACCCUGAGUUUAGGGAAUCCUCCUUCCACCAGCUCCCAUUUUUUGCCGUCCAUUGACCGCUGUCUUAAUUUGAGGAGUUCAAGAUUGGGUAGUUGUUCAAUCAAUGACAUUUUUCUACAGGGAAGACUCAGAGCUUCAAGACUCAACUCUUUCAAAUUCAUGGGAAAAGAAAGCUAAACAUGUUCCCGUGAACCUAAGAAGCUGUAGCCACCUAAGGUGAGUGACUCUAGGCACUCCAAAAUUGAGUUCUCCAAACGCAUUGUACCCGAAACGGAGCAUGGAUUUUUCCCCAGUUUCACUCUCAAAUUUUAAGGGAGAAACAGAUCUCGCCGACUGGAGAGCACGCAAGUAUUUCUUUCCUGAAAUUUCUUUUUUCCAGUGGGAAGGUGAAGAAGAGUAAUGAGAUAAUAAGUUAUUCAACAGACAAACGGAGCAAGACCAAGAAAGAACAGAUGAAUCAAAUUUAACGAGAGAGCGGUCAAAUAAGCUGGAAAUGAUGUUGGUUUGAAUAAAGUAAAAGGAAUUUUAUUGACUAACAGCAAAAUAUCUGAAUAACCUUUAAGCGGCCGUGCAUAUUGAUAAAAUGGUGCACGGUGUACAAAUCUCAUUGAUUGUUUCCACCGUGUCUUGACAAGAAAAGAGCCAUCGAUCCUUUCAAUUUUCACCUCAAUCUUCCACAAAAGCACCAAAGAAAGCCAGACCACCCAAAUGACCUUCACACUCCCUGAUGAAAUAUCAUCAAGAAAAAAUAGAGCAAUAAUUAGUUGUUUGUUCAUCAAUUUCAUUGUGCUCGUGCACGCACUACAGGCAACUGAAGUAGUACAAAAAAGCUACCAAAAUGUCAAUAAAAAUUAAACUCCCUUAAAUGAAAAAAAGCAUGAUUAUUUCUACAAGCCAAUUAAUGGUAACGACAAAAAAAAUUACCAGAUAUUGCACCAGCUCAAUCUAUGAUGAUGACCUUCAGAUUCUCAUUUCCAUUAUAUUCCUGUGCUUCUUCAAUUUCCCUCACUAAAGAUUUGACACCCUCUCCGCAAGAACUCACAUUAAUUGUUUCAAGAGUUGAUAUACGCUGUAGACAAGCAGGCAUCAUUUCCAAAUUAGAAAUGCUUUGGAGUUUUAAUUGCUGAAGGCACGGGAAGUAAUCAUCACUGUCAGGGUCUGUCUCUAUCCACUCAACAAUCUUUACAUAUUCCAAAGUCAAGACCCUGAGUUUAGGGAAUCCUCCUUCCAUCAGCUCCCAUUUUUGGCCGUCCAUUGAACUGGUCUCUUAAUCUGAGGACUUCAAGAUUGGGUAGUUGUUCAAUCAAUGACAUUUUUCUACAGGGAAGACCCAGAUUGAAAGGCUCAACUCUUUCAAAUUCAUGGGAAAAGAAAGCUCAACAUGUUCCCGUGAACCUGAGAAAUACUUGCCCCCUAAGGUGAGUGACUCUAGGCAUUCUAAUCGACUCAUGUUGCAGCAUACUCUAUUUCGUCCCCCACAAUUGAAAAUUUGAAGUUGGUGAACGUUGGGAAUCCUUCUCAAUAUGUUCUCUCCCUCUUGAUCAAGAUAAAGACACAGAUUUGAGAGUGUGUCUAAAUCGGGUAAAGUGGAGAGGUUUUCAACAACGUUGUCGCUGGAAGAGAGAAGAAUAAUGCAGUUACGCUGUACAUGUACAUGCCUCAACUUCUUCAUGUUCCAGAUGCUAUCUGGCAAUGAAACCGUCGUGCAAGAAUUUAGACGGAAGGUUUCCAAAUGUGAGAGCUUGGCUAUAGAUGGUGGAAUGAAUUCCAUGGGCUGAGCUGUACGAAGGGCUAAGUACCUCAAACAAAGAAGUGAUUCGACUUCAGCUGGAAGCUCCUUCAACAUUAGGUUAAUGUCCUCUAAAUUCAAAACUUUAAGACGUUUGUAGAUGCAAAAAGGAGGAGAUAUUAAGCAUCCCAAACUUAUCUCCUCGAGUAGCAUUGAAGAAUAGCAGAGUAUCUAAAUCUGGACAAAAUAGUUUUGACUUUAUAAAAUCUUCUUCACUGCAGCAAAUGGACAACCGAUGUAGGUUGGGAGGCUCAUUAAAGAUAGAAAGCUCAUCAUAUCCACGCAGGAUCUGAAGAAAAUUUUUUUCUUUCGCCACAGUCUUACAGAACUCUAAUAUCAAAUCGUGAAUGUAACAAGUUUUGCCUCCACCAAUGGAUCUGUUUUCACUUACCAUAACUAAGUUUCGAUGAAUUAGGUCCAUCAGAUAUUCUUCUGCAAUAUCCUCUGAUCUCUUUCCUUCAAUUAUUUCCACGAACCCUUCUGCAAUCCAGAGACACAUCAACUUCUUGGCACCAAUUUUUUCAUCCUCUCGAAAUGCAGCAAAAUACAGCAAGCAUGCCUUCAAGUGAUAUGGUAAAUGCUCAUAACUGAGCUCCAUCGACUUUUUGCAUUGUUCUGCAUCAGACACCGUGGUUGAACUUAAACUUUCAGCAAAUCCUUCCCAAACACAAAUAUCAUGCUCUAUAGUUGCUAGGACUCCAGCUGCAACAACAAUUGAAAGUGGCAAUCCUUUGCACUUUUUGGCGAUCUCCAUUCCCAAUCCAUGAAUGCUUGAGGACAAUCUUCUUUUCCAAAAACCUUCUUCUGCAGUAAUUCCCAACUUUCUUUCUCACUGAGUGGGCGAAGAUUGUGAGGUUUCCCCCCAUAUUCAACCUGUGAAGCCACAUUAGAAGAUCGACUUGUGAAGAUGAUUCUACUUCCUUUCUUGUCAUCCGGGAAUGAAAUUCCCAGCUCAUUCCAUACUUCAAUGUCCCAGACAUCAUCAAAAACAACAAGAUACCGAUUCCCCUUCAGCUUUUGGUAGAGCUUUUGAAGCAACGCAUGUUCAUCCAGAUUUUGAAACUCAUCAUCCAUCCUCGAAUGUUUGCCAUCAGAGUGUAAAAUUUGAAGUAACACAUUUUUCAUGUUAUAGGCUUGAGAAACUAUACACCAAAGACGAAUGUGGAAGUUAUAGAUUACUGAACUAUCAUUGUAAACUUUUUUGCUAAAGUUGUCUUACCAAGCCCAGCCAUUCCCACAAUGGGAACAAUUUCCACCUGUUUUGAUCCGCUUACAAGUCGUUCAAUUACUUUUUCUGCCUCAUCAUCAAGACCAACCAUGACUUCAUGGGCUAUUGGCAUUUUACCUUUUGAUAGCAUGUGGGUGGAAGUCUUGCUAACUUCUGGUGCUCUUAAGCUAUGAAAGGAAGGAAGACUUUCAAUAACGCUUGAGCCACUGAUCUGAUCCUUAAAAUGCUUGAGAUGGGUGUUGGUAUUAGCCAGCAUAUCACAACAGUCAAGGACCUCUGUGGAUUCUAGAAGCUAACUUCUCCUUCCUUCACUCUGUUUAGAGAAGGCGAGCAAAUUAUAAUGCCUGCCUCACAAAAAGAGCACCAAUUUUUUCGUUUUGCUCAUUCAUCUUCUCCUGCUGCUCCCUUAAAAUGCUUCUCAAAAACCUCAGUCCUGCAUAGAGUAUUGGCAUUUCAUCUUUCAUAGAAUCCAUAAAGCUAGAGCUGCAGCAUAACAGCUCCCAGAGACGACUUAUCAGAGAAUCAUUGAAGUUGUUCAAUAUCUGCUUAUCCAUCAUUCUAUUAUGCAAUGAUUUUGAGGAUCUUGUAGCUUUAAGAACUUCCAUAUAAAUCUCAUAGACUUGAAAAUCAAUAGGUGUGAUUUUCUGUUGUUGCUCAUAUAUCAUGGAGCAGAACUGAGGAUUGCAGAACUCAUCAUCCCAACAAGAACACAUGUAAGAGAGCGUGCUGCGUUCAAAGUCACCACUUCAAAGUGAGCCAACAGCAAGGCAGGAAUAUCUACAGUUCCUCGCAAUUUGGCAAAGGGAAUGAAGCUUUUCAAGAAUGUUAGCUUUGCUUCAAGGGCUUGGACUUGAGCACCAACUUGGGGAUCCAUUUCAACAAUACACAAAUCGCUAGUUGUUAAAUCCGCUAGAUUUUGUAGAAUGAGGUCUAUAAAUUCCAUUAGUUCAUCAACUGGCAUGCAAGAAUUUGAUUCCAAUGAUCUGCUGCUUGCCAAAGCAAAAUAAACUUGGAUGAUUGCUUGCUUAAAUGAUUUGAUCUGUUUCAAAAAUUUAAAAAACACUUCAUCGCCAACAUCACGUAUGCCAAGUGCAUCAGAUUCCAACAUAAGGCAAAGAGAGUGAAUGUCCUCCUCAUAUUUGUGAACGGUAUCUUCAAUGCAAGAUAAAAAAGAUGGAAGACUCACCAAGUCCAGAUCAUUGCAGUGUCUCCACUUUCUUGCACACAUAACAAAUGUUCUGAGAAAUGUUAUGUUCAGGUACGCAGCUUCAAUUUUGAGAAAUGUUACACCCACGUCCGUAUAUCCAAUUUUGCCUGUUCGUAACAUGACAUUGAGGUCGUCCAUAAGCAACUUUAGAUCAAGGAAGACAUGAUCGACGCUGCAAGUGGAGGCCACGUCCAUCUGUUGUGCAGGGAUUUUUCCUUAGUUUCACUCUCAAAUUUGGAGGGAGAAAAGAUCUCGCCGACUGCAGAGCAAGCAGCCGAAAUUUUUUUUCUGGUGGACAGUGAAGAAGAGAAAUGAGAUAAUAAAUAUUAUUCAACAGACAACGGAGCAAGAUCGAGAAAGAACAGAUCAAUCAAAGUUAACGAGAGGGAGCGGUCAAAUAAUCUGGAAAUGAUCUUGGUUUGAAUAAAGUAAAGAAAUUUUAUUGACUACAACUGCAUAGUUUUUUGGAGUUUUUUUUUUUUUUUUUGAAAUACUCAUUUCGUUGUUGAGAAGUGGACAUCGCACGUUAACAAAGGUACUGACUCAGACUGUUUUACAAUUUCGCGCAUUUUGGUAUAAUCAUCGCGUGGUAAAAUGUACCGACUCCCAUUCCCUUUGUACAAUUUUUCCCAUUGUACAUUUAUAUUGACUCAAAUUGAAAAUAACUAAAUCAAUAAGGGAAAAACCUUCCGAAAUCUAAAGUGGAAUACGUGCAAGUGGUGGGUCGGGUUUCAUAGAAUUAUUGGGAAUUGUUGGGAAUUAUUGCUGCACGUCCCUGUCCCUGUUUUUGCAAUAAUUCCAUAGUUUAAUAUGUUAAACUUUAUCUUUUGUCUUUUAGAGAGCUGUUAUCUUAUUUAGUGUGGGUAUAUUAGGAAGAACAAAAAAAAUAAACCAUCAAAAUAUAAAUGAUCCAGAGACUUUUAUUGGGAGGAGUAUAGAGAUAUAAAUACAAAUAUAGCUUUAACUGGUUUCUUUUCAUUUUUUUUUUAUUUCAGCAUGUAUCUUCAAGCUAGCUCUCUAGUUUUCUUCAAUUGUUUUCCUUCUCGAGCAAACCGCUAAAUUUGAUCACUUUCUCUUCUAAUUCUUUCAUAUUAAUAAUCAUGACCAUUGAUCUUGGAGAUUAAUAGCCAUGACCAACAAAGUAAAGAGUCUGGGAAAAAAUACGAGGGCUUCUUCAACCUUAAAAUUGUGGAAGCAGAGAAUUCGAGAUUUCUACAAUUACUAGUGUCAAUUAUAUCAUAAAAUAUACGUAUUAAUAUAAUAAAUAUAAAUGCUAAGAUAAUAAAUAUAAACAGUAAAACAAUAACUUGUAAAAUUAAUGUUACCAGAGUGCAUUAAUGUUACCAAAAUACUAUAGUCAAAGAGAUGAAUGGAUUAAAGAAGUGAAAAUUUCUACUAGCUAAUAGUAGUACUUCUUUUCAAGAGCCAGGACUUAAAUGCACGCUAAUUAUUUGUACAAAUUUAUUUACGUGAAUCAUAAAUAUAUUUUUCAAUCAUAGUUUUAUUUCACAUAUAUCAAAUCAAAAUAGUGACACAAUACUUUUCAAAAAAAAUUAUUCCAAAUAAUCUCAUAUUCAGACGCGAGUAUAUGCCCAUUUCAGUGUUACUUGGACCAUUGGAAAUUAAUUUUAGUCUUCUCACUAGUCUUUCUUCCACAUUCAGGGGGGGUCCAUUUGGAAAAUGAGAGAGAAGGGGACCGGUUGUUCUCGGGUCAAGCACGGCACCCAUAUUUUUAAAUGUUAGAUAUCAAUUCUUAAAUAUUUUUAAAUGUUGACGAAGAAUUAGUGACAAUGGUCUCAAGAGUCAGAACCGAAAUGUUACAGCUAUUAGAAAUCAAUUCAACUCUUAACAUCAGUCUUUCUUCCACAUUCGGGAGGUCCAUGUGCAGAAUUCGAUAGAUUGAUGAAGACCGGAUACUGUUCUGGUCAAGAAUGGCUACUGGACGGUCCCUUUUCUCGUUCUUUAAUUCAAGCUUUAGCCAUUAAGGGGCAAUGUUUUAGAUGGGAGAAGAUUUCAUUUACAAUGGCCUUGUGAUUCUAAACUGCUCCAAUUUUUAAUGUGUGAGCAACUAUAUUGAGGUUUUUGGGACCCGAACAAUUUUGGGCUAAUUGAUAUAUGUCGCAAGAACAUUUUCAUAUUCUCUUGUGGUUAAAUUUAAUAAUAUUAUACACAGCUAAUGAAUUGAUAAGGCUUUUAUAGUAUUGCAUUUAUCUCUCAGGUAAGACUACAAACGAAUCUCGUAAACCAGCUUUCUAGCAGCAACGACAACUGCCUCAAUAUUGGCUGGCUGAGCUCAAGCAGUUUGAUCAAAGUAUCAAAUCAAGUAGUUUGAUUAAGAAAAUACUCCCAAACCUCAUGCUAUAUAGACAUAAAUUUUAACAUUAGUACUGAUCGUCUAUUUUAAAUUCCUUCAAGAAAAAUAUUAUAAUUAAUAUCUACUUACAUAUGAGCUUAAUUAGAUCGGAUCUAUGCAAGUGGAGGUCAUCUCCAUCUCUUAUAAUGCAAGGAACUUCCUCAAUUUCACUCUCAAAUUUUAGUGUAGCAGCAUAAGGAGAAAUAUUAACAAAUCUCGCCUUCUCCAGAUCUAGCAAGUAUUUCUUUUGUGGAAUAUUCAAUUAUUCAACAAACAAACGGAGCAAGAAAGAAAAGAUUAACAAUUAACAACGUAGUGGUGACAGUAGUGUAGGAAUUACGAGAAAGUUGCAUCUCGGUUUGGAAAAGCAAAGAAUUUUUUAAUUCAUUACUUUAUGGUUUUUGAAUGAAUUAUUUCACUCUCAUUUUGUAGUUAAGAAGCACCAGUGUCGGCAUUGUCCACUAAGAAAGGGACCCCACACCUAGUCCCUUUUUUUUAAUUUAAAAAAUUUUUGCUUUCCAUAAGGUAAGACUUUCUUGGAAUUUUCGAGAGAAAAAGUGCAUAAAAGGUGCACAAAAAAAAAAGAAAGGAAAAAAUUAAAGUCAAAGAGAAAUUUUUAUUAUCACGAAAAUAGUUUCUUUCAUUUUCAAGUGAAAAGGAAAAAGAGAAUGAUAAUUUAUAAUUAGUGAUCUUUGUUAGCUUUAUUUAGCUUUUUUUUUUUUCUAUUUGUUGAAAAUUCAAGCAUUGUUGUUCAAUAUGCAUGCUUCAAAAAUCAAUCCUAUAAUCCAAAAAUCAAUAGCUAGUUUUUAUUUUUGAUAGGUUGUCGAAGCCUGUGCAAUAAUAAAACCUGCUCAAACUAAAAGUGAUUUCUGUAAAUAGCGGUGAGCAGGGUCGAAUCCACAGGGACUGGGAGUAAUUAUUUCUUUUCAAGUUCACAGUGACAAGGGGGUGUUUUUGUGCAGAAGGUGACAAUCAAAGAAAUUCAACUAAAAUCUAAGAAACUACUAAAAAUUAAAUAACAAAUUACUAAAAUCUAAUGAGUGAUAAUUAAGGAUCUAGCCAAGGAAUAACUUCAGCAAUGGUUCACCCAAUUGAUCAUCGAUAAGCAAAGAUAAUUCCAAUUAUUUAUCAAUAAAUAGGUUAUAACUACCAAACAAGCGAUGGCAGUCAACCCCUCCUUACUGUGUCGGUGAUCAAGGUACGCCCGUUAAUCACUGCUCUAAUUGAGAAAUAAUCUAGGUACGCCCAUAGAAUUUAAUUCCCCAAUUGCCUUACGUAUUAGAGGAGCCCUAUUCUAACCAAAUAACGCACUACCAGGGUUAUUUUAGAUUAGCCCGCGUAUUCCCCUGACACAAACCUAAUCAUGCCAGUUGUCACUAUUUUAGAGCAAUUAAACAAUUACGGAUUUAAUGCCCUAAUUGACAAUAGAUUACCCAAUCAACUAAUUAUCUGGAUCCAAGACAAUCAAUUAAUUAAAUAACCAUAAGUAUAGCAAUCAAGAAAUAUGCGGAUACCAAUAAGUAAAAGGAAAAGAUUAAAUUAAAACGAUCUCACAAUUUUAGGCGACCCAAAGCAUCCGUUAUCCCUUGACUAGACAAGGGAAAUUAGUUCAUUGUUGCUAAACAAAGCCCAAACAAAAUUGCAGAGAGAGACGCAGCCAUCAAUUGGGCAAAUGCCCAAGUUCAAUUCGUUUGAAGGAGUACUGAAAACCGAAAUUGCAUCAGAUGGUUUAAUGCGUUAACUUGUCUGCUCAUACCAAGGAAGAAAACGAAACUGCUACAAGCUAAAAGGUGGAAAAGCUAACAGGAAAAAGUCAAGUACUACGGCUAAGCUAUCCUGCCAUGCGUAAGAAAAGUAAAAAGCAAAGCUCCAGGAAAAGUCAACAAUAAAGCUCCUAAGCUACAGACGAAAGACUAAGCAAAGCCAGCCAUCCUUUCCUCUCUGAAGCAUUCUACUCUAAUGCCUCGCCAUUGUGCGGCGGCUCCCCUCCGAGAGGAAGAAAAUUCGAGAGAGCCCAAGAAGACUUCGGCCUCCUCCUUUUAAUGCUGUCUGCGGGCCAAUUACCAAGAAGGGUUGUGGUUUGAUAUUCCAAAAAUGUCCCUAGAUGCCUGCUACUUGAACUCUUUUUUGAUAACUGUCAAAUUGGCCUUGAUUGUGAUAUUUUUGUUCUACUCCCUGAAAUAAAUAUAAAUUACGAAAAAUGAGUAGAAUCUAAUAAUUAAUUCACAUCAAGUCAGGUAAUAGGGGAAAUUAAUAAUAAAAUAAAUAACAAAAUUGCAAUCUAUCAAUUCCCCCCACACCUAAACCAUGCUUGUCCUCAAGCAUAAGAACAGUACACAGAUACCGAAAUUUGAUAACGGCUGUUGCUCUAUCUAUCAUAUUGCCAAGAUAUCAAGAAAAAUAUAUAUCAAGCAUCAGUGAUUAAGAUCCAAGAAACAUCACUCCGGUUAGCUUCUAAACCACAAAUUUCUCCAAUUUCAGGUUAACUAAUCUAAGAAAAAGGAAUGACGUGCAACAUUUAUCAGCAAAUGGUCCAACUAUUAACCAAAAUCUCAACAUUAAAUCCAUAAAUCGGCAAGCUGACUAUCACAACCUUCACUUUUUUUUUUUUAGCACAUUUUUCUACUUUUUUUUUUUUUUUUGAUUGAUUUUUUCUCUCUUUUCUUUCUUUUCUUUUUUUUCUCUCUUUUCUUUUUUUUUAUUCUUUUUCUUUUCAAUAGUAACAAAAGACUUAGUCGCUAGCCAUUUGAGCCUUUUGACGCGAACAACUCAACAUUGGCCAGAUGAAGGAGCCCGGUUACUCAGCUUCUAUCGCCACGUGACCACGUACUCAUAGGAAUUACUACUUUUUGACGCGAGAAUCAACACUUUUAGGUGCAGAUCCCCGGUUACUCAGUAGUAACUAAUAGCGGAGUACAGUCAAGUUUAUUCAGAACUAAAAAUCACAAAAACUCAAUAUAACACAAGAACCAAAAGAAAACUUGCAUCAGCUAGCCUCAUUUUCAAACAUGGAGAACUAAAGUUAAUAACCGGACCAAUUCACAUGAAAAUGUCAAUAAUCAUUCCCUAUGCCUAGGAAAGUUAACCAAAAAUUAUAAGAGUAAAACAAUCAUUGAUAUUCACCAAAGAGAUGUUUUUGGAUUCAACCACAUUAACUUGAUACCCUUUUAUUAUUAAAAUUGGCAAUAGUAAAAUAGAGGCAAUAAUCCAACAUCAAACCUUGGCAUGCAUUACGAGCCAAUCACUAAAAGAAGAAAGAAAAAAAAUGAAUGAAAGACACUAGCACCAUAACAGCUCCCCCCACACCUAAAUCCUACAUUGUCCUCAAUGGAGGUAAUAAAGUAAUGAAAGCGAAGAGAACAAUGAAACUUCCCUGUUGAACAGCUAAGGGAUAGGAGGGAACAGUGGAGGGAAACCGAGUUCUGAGACAUCCUUGCCACUUGGCGGGUGAUGUUCGUCAUACGCUCAUCUACGUUGUGAAUCGGAGCCCGCAAGUGGUGCGACUUACAUCAGAGGCCAUCGAUGGGGGAGGCGCAGAAGAAGAGGGCUCGGGUCUUACCAUUUUCUCCAAAUGUCAUUUCAAUCAACAAGAGACAAAAAUUGCCCACAGGUAAUGUAAACAGCAAAUUCAAAGCAAUAACAAUUUAAUAGCCACUGGUGCCUCCCUAGUAGACAACCCAAUCAACAAAAUGCACAACCCAGGCACCCGGAGACUAGACAAAUAUCCCAACAAUACAGCAAUUUCAAUCAAUACUCACGGGUGGCCCCAAUUGGGUCAAAUACAGGCUGUCCAAAAUCGCAACAAAUGCUCUAAAGAUUUAGCAAUUGAAAUCAAUAGGUAAAAUACUCCCAGCAAGUCAAUUAGACGCCACCAACAGCAAUAAGCAAUGGAAGCGGCACAGUAGCCUUCCAAUUUAACAAACAAAUGCAGAAAAUACCCAACUAAAGGCACUUCAAGGGACGCAAGACAGAAAUCAGCAAAGUAGAACCCAAGUGAUACCAAAAAUAACCUUAACAAAGUAGAAUUCAACCAAUUUGAAUACGUAGAAUACGGUCAGAAAUGCCUCCCAAAGAUCAACAGAAGUGGCAAAACUUGCCCACCCAAAAUCUGUCCAAAUGGCUCCAAUUGGACAAGAAAUUGCACAACUCAAACGAUCAAAACUUAGCAAUUGGGCCAAGCAAUAGGCAAUGGCAACAACCAAUGGUUAGAAUUCGAGAACAGUUCAGGCACCAAAACCCAAGAAUCAAAUAGGCAGGCCAGUACAGAGGAUUAAGAAAUGGAAAGCAACACUGCAACCAGUACCACUGGUGCACAGACAGGAAAGAAUUAAAUUCAAUGGCAGCAACUCAACCGCAAGAACUUAAACUGGAAAAUUAAUCAACCAGUACCACUGGUGAGUCACAGGGAAAAAUAAUCAAGCGGCUAAUAAUUCAAUAAAUAACAGAAAAUACCCCCACUAUGGCAGCAAUUAAAUCCAAUUCUGUCCAAAAAAACACCCCCAAAAUAUGCCUAAAUCACCCCUGCUAUUAGCUAUAAAGAAACUCAAACACAGGGUGGACUGGAAUGACUCAACUAAAAACGCCCAAUAGGCACAACUCGCUUAAUUAGGCAAUCCAGAACACAGGAUUAUCAGAUGUUAAACAACUACCAUCACCAGUACCACUGGUGAGUGCAUAGGGAGAAAUUAAAGCAAAUAACCAAUCCAGUGAACAAAAUAGAUUCGAACACCCAAACAGCGCCAAAAAUGAGCGGAAAUUAAAGCCAGAAGCAGUGGUCAACUAACUCCCAAAGUACCCCCAAAUAUCGCAGCAGUUUAACUCAACUCUACCCAAAAUUAGACCAGAAAAUGCCCAAAAUUACUGCCCGCUGUUUUCCAACAAGAAGCCCAAGCAAAGGUGCAAAAUUUCGCAAUUUAGGGUUCAGAAUAAGACAAAUUGAGGCAGGAAUCGCAAUACCUCCACCUGCCAACAAUUGACAGGUGGUAACGAGCUGGGGUGGAGCUGGCGGAGAUGAGAGCUCACGAGCUGGUGGUGGGCUGGUGGACUUCGUCGACGAGCUGCAGGGGGAGGAAGUGCGGCUCGCGGCUGGGCGACAGGCAGCGGCGCGCGGCGCUGCUGUGGUGGUGGUUGUGGAGCUUGAGCAGGCGGCGGCGCGCAGCUCAGCGAAGAGGGGCGCCAAGCUGGUGGAGGUGAGCUAAAGUGCAGCGGCGAAAUGGUGGCGGCUGGAGCGCGCAGGUGGAGAUGGCGCAACGGGCUCGCUGGGGAGAGAGUUGCGCGCGAGGGCUGAUGGACUGGUGGAGGUUGGCGCGCAGUGUCGGUGACGGGCCGCGGCGGACGGUGGUGGCAGAUCUGGUGGUCCGCCGCUGGUGGCGCACGGCGGUGGUCUUGGGCGACGGACCAACAGGGGAACAGAGUAGAAGAAAGAAAGAAAAGGGAAAGAAAGAAGAAGAAAGAAAGAAAGAAAAGAAAGAAAGAAGAAAGAAAAAAAGGAUUUUUUUUUUUUUGUUUUACGUUGACAAGUCAAGAACUGGCUACGGUUAAGGAGAAAGAAAAUUUUUUCCUUUUGAUUCUGUACUACUUCCUCUUUUUCUUUUUUUUUCUCUUUUUUUUUUUUUUAUUUUUUCAAAAAUUUUUUAUUUUUAUUUUAUUUUUAUUUUUUUCUUUUGUAACAAAAAAAAAAAAAGGUAGCUACGGUUAAAAGAAAAAAAAAUUUUUUUUUUAAUUCUUACCUUUCCCGCGAACGUGACGCGGGCACGUCAAGAGAGCAAGAGAGCUCCCAGAAGUUUCAGAAGUUUCUGAUCGUGAGCGUCAUGCACGUCACCACGCGGGCGCGUCAUGACUGAAGGGCACCUAUAAAUCAGCAAAAACGAAAAUUAACACCCAAAACCAAUCAAACUCAAGGAAAACAUAUUUAAACUAUCACACGAAAUCAAACAAAUAAUUAAAAGAAACAAUUGGGUUGCCUCCCAAUAAGCGCCUUUCUUUAAUGUCUCUGGCUAGACAUUAUCAUGUUUUGUUCAUGGAGGAUAAAAUCUCGUGGCUCGUCUUAAUGCUUCAUCCUCUAUGUAGUCCUGAUAACCCUCGUAAAUAGAAUAAUCCUUGAGCAUACGAGUUACGGGCUUCCAUGGACUAGUAAAUGGCGCUAAACAAGUCAACAAUGAUCUGCAUUCUCCACUCACUCCUCCACCACACGCAUUCAUCGGUUCAAGAUAUUUUCCAUUGCCACUCUUAACUUAUUCCUGUCAUGAAAUUUCAAAUUUUCUGGUAUAAUAAAAUCAAUUUCAGUAACAGGAAUUGAAGAAGAUGAAUUAGGAAAAUAUUGAUUAAGGAGUGGAGAAGAUGUCACCGCAUUUGGAAAUUGUUCACUGGAUUCAUUCACUUGAAUAAUUUGAUGUUGGAGUCUCAUGUCUUCCGCUUCAACUUCCUUUUCAACUGUAUCUUUGGAUCCUCCUUCUUGAGACUCUUGCAGUUCCAUAUCACUUGUCAGGAUAAUUGCACUCUCACCUUUCUUAGAGUCAUUGAUGGUCUGUGAGGGCAAGUCUGAUAUGAAUGACGAUUGUUGAGACUCUUGCAGCUGAAAACUCAUUGGCCCCUCUUCAUAAUUAACGUUAGAGUUAUCCCACCAUCCUUGAUCAUACCGGUUUGAAUAAGGGUCAUACCACGUUUGAGAUCGAGGUGAAGAAUCUCCAAAUUUUUUUUUUGAGAUAGUCACUCAGGUAGUCUUGAUAUUCGGGGCACAUACCGGUUGAAUGAUCCCUGGCAUAACAAAUUUCACAGGUUGCAGCAGCCAUUCUUUCUCUAACAGAGUUUAGUGCCUCUGCAUAUGCAGACCUCACAAAAAAACUAGCCUCAUUGCCUUCCCCGGAAAUAAAAUCCAGUAUAUCACCAAAAUACGGAGUGUAAGAAGCCAUAAACUAAAUAAAAAAAUGUAAACAAGAUGAAUUGAAAAAGAAACAAAUAACUAGCGCCAGUCCCGGCAACGGCGCCAAAAAUUGACAGGUUGUCGAAGCCUGUGCAAUAAUAAAACCUGCUCAAACUAAAAGUGAUUUCUGUAAAUAGCGGUGAGCAGGGUCGAAUCCACAGGGACUGGGAGUAAUUAUUUCUUUUCAAGUUCACAGUGACAAGGGGGGUGUUUUGUGCAGAAGGUGACAAUCAAAGAAAUUCAACUAAAAUCUAAGAAACUACUAAAAAUUAAAUAACAAAUUACUAAAAUCUAAUGAGUGAUAAUUAAGGAUCUAGCCAAGGAAUAACUUCAGCAAUGGUUCACCCAAUUGAUCAUCGAUAAGCAAAGAUAAUUCCAAUUAUUUAUCAAUAAAUAGGUUAUAACUACCAAACAAGCGAUGGCAGUCAACCCCUCCUUACUGUGUCGGUGAUCAAGGUACGCCCGUUAAUCACUGCUCUAAUUGAGAAAUAAUCCUAGGUACGCCCAUAGAAUUUAAUUCCCCAAUUGCCUUACGUAUUAGAGGAGCCCUAUUCUAACCAAAUAACGCACUACCAGGGUUAUUUUAGAUUAGCCCGCGUAUUCCCCUGACACAAACCUAAUCAUGCCAGUUGUCACUAUUUUAGAGCAAUUAAACAAUUACGGAUUUAAUGCCCUAAUUGACAAUAGAUUACCCAAUCAACUAAUUAUCUGGAUCCAAGACAAUCAAUUAAUUAAAUAACCAUAAGUAUAGCAAUCAAGAAAUAUGCGGAUACCAAUAAGUAAAAGGAAAAGAUUAAAUUAAAACGAUCUCACAAUUUUAGGCGACCCAAAGCAUCCGUUAUCCCUUGACUAGACAAGGGAAAUUAGUUCAUUGUUGCUAAACAAAGCCCAAACAAAAUUGCAGAGAGAGACGCAGCCAUCAAUUGGGCAAAUGCCCAAGUUCAAUUCGUUUGAAGGAGUACUGAAAACCGAAAUUGCAUCAGAUGGUUUAAUGCGUUAACUUGUCUGCUCAUACCAAGGAAGAAAACGAAACUGCUACAAGCUAAAAGGUGGAAAAGCUAACAGGAAAAAGUCAAGUACUACGGCUAAGCUAUCCUGCCAUGCGUAAGAAAAGUAAAAAGCAAAGCUCCAGGAAAAGUCAACAAUAAAGCUCCUAAGCUACAGACGAAAGACUAAGCAAAGCCAGCCAUCCUUUCCUCUCUGAAGCAUUCUACUCUAAUGCCUCGCCAUUGUGCGGCGGCUCCCCUCCGAGAGGAAGAAAAUUCGAGAGAGCCCAAGAAGACUUCGGCCUCCUCCUUUUAAUGCUGUCUGCGGGCCAAUUACCAAGAAGGGUUGUGGUUUGAUAUUUCAAAAAUGUCCCUAGAUGCCUGCUACUUGAACUCUUUUUUGAUAACUGUCAAAUUGGCCUUGAUUGUGAUAUUUUUGUUCUACUCCCUGAAAUAAAUAUAAAUUACGAAAAAUGAGUAGAAUCUAAUAAUUAAUUCACAUCAAGUCAGGUAAUAGGGGAAAUUAAUAAUAAAAUAAAUAACAAAAUUGCAACCUAUCAAUUUUCAAAAGAAAAGGUAAAAUGACUUCAAUAGAGAUUUUAGUUUGAUGGAAUCUUUGACUUGAGUUUAUAUAAUUACUAACAAGGGCUUUAAGUCAUGAACAAAGAGUAACGAGUAGUCGGCAUCAGUUCGUGAUUACGCUUCACGGGGUUGGGUGUCCUCUCCGCUUGACAGAUUUGUAUCCUGAACCAGUUCUAUUGGUUCAAUAAAAAAUUAAAUCAUAAUUGUGUUCACGAUCAUAAAGUGCUCGAAUGACCGGAUACUUGGCAAAGCGGUUCACGAACCCAGAGGUUAGGUACUAGACUCGGUACCAAAGUUAAAAAAGAAAUCAUAUUUUCAUAAUUGAGAAUAAGAAAAUAAGUAAACACCUAAAAGACUUUAUUUAAAUAUAAUUCAUUAUUUGUUAAGAAAUAUCACAUAACCAUGAAUACUUGCAUAUUCAUAGUAAAAACAAGUUUGUAAAUAUCACUUAUUCUAUGAAACAAAAGCUAAAUAUAUUAUAUAAUUAUCAAGUUAAACAAGUUAAGACUCUUAUAUUGUUGAGAUAGUCAAGUAUAUCAUCUCAAAUAUAAAUAUUUGAUGAAAGAUGAUUAUAUAUUCCUCUAUUAAUUUUAGUGUUAAUUUUAGUUUUAAUGGACAAAAUUAUAAGUAUAUCCUUACAUAUGAAUUGGGUCAGGUAUUUGCGAUUUUCAAAGUUUUUGGAUUGCGACAGAAUGUACGUCCUUGUUAAUCCGGUUUGCUGCUACCCGAACUACACAUAUUAAAACCGAUUCGAGUACCCUAAAUCUAUGUUUUCAGACUCGGACCGGAUAUCGACUCGGUCAGGGUCAGGGGUCAGGGGUCAAUGGGUUCGACCGGGUUCGACCGGGGGUUAAAUCAGAUGACGUCAUAAAUAAAAAUUAUUUAGAAAUUAAAAUAUUAUAUUUAAAAUAUCUAAGAUCAUGUUAAUAUUAACAAAGGUAUAUUCAUAUAUGUUUAAUGUUUCAAAUGUAUUUAAUAAUAAAAUACAAAGAAAUUAGAAUAAUCAAGGAGCAAUUUAUAUUAUUUAAUGAAUAUUAACAAGUUUAGAAUUAAAAUUAUGGACUUGAUUAAAAAAUAACACCAAACUUUAGGACAAUAUUUAUAAAGUAUGAAAUAUUUGAGGUAUAUUAAUAGUUUUUAACAACUUAAGGAUCAAAACAUAAUAUUGAAAAUGUUUUGAUCCUAUACCAGAUGAAAGUGCUUUGAAGUUUGACCCCACGCCACACCUCUCAUUUAUUCCUCUACUCCUCACGGUGUCAUUUCAUCUUCCUGCAACUCCUUUCUUCAUCUUCCACGCCAUUCUGCAACUCCUUUCUUCUUCUUCAUCUUUUUUUUUUAAUUUCAUUUUCAUUCUUAUUUUAUUAGUUAUUUGUUCUCAAACCCAUGAAAUAUCAUGCUUUUAUCUGAUUUCUGCAAACUGUUCUCUUCUCCACGCUUUUUUUUUUUGCAUUUUUGGGUCUUUUUUUAUCUUUUGAAUACAAGAUCUAAGAUUAUAUCUUAUUUUAAAAAAGGGGUAAAACAUUGAUUUUUCAUGCUUGAAUUGAAGUCAAAGAGUGAAAAUGGAUUUGCGGAGGAGGCGGAGCUCACAAGGAUUUGGGGUUAAGAGGUCAGGAAGGGUAAAAAAGAAUUUAAAAAUAGAGAAUAAGAAAAACCCGGUUCGUACGGGUUCUUCAGGUUUCCGGUUAAACCUGGUCAAAACCGGGGUUUGACCGAGUCUUGACCAAUCCGAGUUUUUAAGAUAGCUCGGACCGGACACUUGGCCGGUUUUCGGUUCAACCAGUCGGACCGGCCGGUCCGGUCCGAAUUUAAAAACACAGCCCUAAAUUUGCGGUUCAGAUCGAAUCAAUAUUUACGAAUUUUUGGAUUUCUCUUAUCAAAAUAAACAGCAUGUAUUACAUAAACUUGCAUAUCUUUAUUACCGACAAACAAACAAAAAUUUAUUCCUAUCAUACCAUAGAACCCAACAGACAACGGGAAAAAGAGGAAACCAAAGAACAUUAAAGCGGUUAACAGUUGAGAAUUUUUUACAAUCAAAAUUUAGCCAACUAAUGAAAUCUAAUUGAGCCACCCAAAAGAAGGGAAAUUGACAGGAAAAGAUGUAGCCAUCCAAAGACAAGGAGCUUUAGGACACCUCCUAAUUUAUAUGUUUAGACUCGUUGCCAGCAAAAAACGCAGGAGUUCUCUCGAGGCUAGUCUGUUUUGAGAACACAACCGAAGAAAAUGCUUGGUUCAACUUUCCAAAUCCAUGCAAGAGGACUCCUAGUAAAAUUAAGAAUAUUGCUACAACUCAAAACUAAUUUAGCAGAAUCAAUCUUAGUAGCAGGUGGAAAUUUCCAACCCAAGAUUAGAUAUCAGUGACAGGUUGGAAUAUUACCAUCUAUAACUUGAGAAACAGAGACUUUUAAAAUUAUUCAAAUCUCAUGAGCUCAAAACAUAACAAAGUUCCUUGACUGCAAAUUGACACAUGUUUGAAAAGAAAUAGUACACAAUCAUCACUAAAUUCAGCAAAACGAAAUUACACAAAAUACCCCAACAGCAAAAUAUCUGAAUAACCUUUAAGCGGCCGUGCAUAUUGAUAAAAUGGUGCACGGUGUACAAAUCUCAUUGAUUGUUUCCACCGUGUCUUGACAAGAAAAGAGCCAUCGAUCCUUUCAAUU